rnacentral:lncRNA from 1 species
AGAGAAAAUUUGCCAUUCCAGAUCCGUGCUUAUGUAUGAAAUUAUCCAGAGAUCCGUUAGGCAUGUAUUCAUAAAUCAAAGCUCGUUUGUCCCCCUCGUAACAGAAUCCAGAAAGAGUGACUAUGUUGACAUGGGAGGUUCUACCAAUGCUAGCAACUUCAUUAAUAAAAUCUUCUCCUCCAUUACCCUUGGACUCGCUUAGGACUUUGACCGCCACCAGAAGCCCAUCAGGUAGCCUGCCUUUGUACACAGUUCCAUAUCCACCUUUACCUAUUUUGUCUCUGAAAGAGUCUGUCAUUUUCUUGACAUUUUCAUAGGUAUACCGCUUUGGAGUAAGCGAUCCAUAGUUCCUUAUAAAAGCCUCAACAUCAAACUCAUCCCUCUUCUCUUUCUGGACGAAUGAGACCAUUCUUCCGCUUGAUACGUGCGGGAGCGAUUUUCGGACAUUUUGCUUCCACCAUAUGCAUAUACUACAAAGAAUGAUUACCAUCACGUAAAAUCCAGUAGCCAAACCUGCAACAAAAUACCUGAUUUGUUGGAUUUUUAUUUUAUGUAGUUAUUAGUUAAGCUCCUAGUCAUUUUAAACAGUCAUUUAAGUUCUAAAACCACUUUGGAGGGCUACCAUUUUAACAGUCAAUCAAGAACUACAACGAAAACAAGUAACGAAGCAGUUACUAGUAUAAAUACUGUUUUAAAGAAGUGAAAUAUUACCCAUUGCGAGAUCCUUCUUUUUUCCUGAAACAGCCAUAAGAUAGAGAAAUGUUAAUCAAUUGUUAAAAACCUCAAUUGCAACAAAGAUAUUUGGUAGAUUACAUCAACAAAAACUACCUUUUUUGUCACUUCUUAUUUGCCUUAAAUUUGGUCAUUGUGUCGCUAAUUUUACUCAAUUGAGUCAAUUUUUUGUCACUGGUUAGUUUUUUUAUGUUCAAUACUUCAAGAAUAAGACUUAGGUCAAUGAAAAUUUUGGUGACCACAAAAACGCGGGACCCGCCAGUGAACGGGUAAGAGAGGUUUCGAAGCGGGCCGCAGUCGAAGGCCCGGGAGCAGUUGGAGAGGUUUGCAUUCGAGGGAAACGACUUCGUAACCUCGAAGGAUUAGAAGAAGAAGAGGAGGAGGAGGAGGAAGAGUGGAAGCAUUGGGGAAGGGGCGGGAAAACGACGAAGUUUGGGUGUGGGGUGGGCGAGGCGGGAAGUGGCUUAGAGAGUUGAGUGAUGAAAUGCAAUGAGGUUUUGGUUUGACAGUGCACACUGCUUUUGAAUAUUUUGGAGGCUGCUGACCAAAUAUGUUAUCUUUUUUACCUUAAUGAGUUUUUUCUGUUCAAUAAUUUAUGGGUAUUUUCGUAAUUCAAGGAAUUAAAAUGAUUAUUUAUUAUUUAUUUAUUAGAGUCCUGGUAUUUUCUUAUUUUCGUAAGACUCCUGGUCAACUUCAAAGGUAUAGUCAAACAGCGUGAGCUCCAAACUAGCAAUUUUUCGAAAGGGUAGUUGAUGAAUUGGAGGAGGGCUUUGAAUGUGAAAAGAAGAAAAUCUCAUACAAUUUUUGGGCAUGUUUUUCUUAGGCAGAAAACUUCUACUACCCCCCAACUUUUUCUCGGGUAAAUAUACUUUUUCUCGGGUAAAUAUAUCAAAUCAUAGAGCAACUUUUCCCAAGGCAGAAAUUAUUAUAUCUUACUUUCGUUUGAAGAUUCUUUAAUAUUUUUUAAAGAUUUUUUUGUUCGAAGGGAUGAUAAUAUGCUAAACUCACACACUACACGGAUAUCAGAACUCGAAUCCAGAAUGUUUCUUCGAGUAGCAAUUACUCUAAACCACUACAUUAGUGUAAUCUUAGCUAAAAAUUCCUAAUUUCAAUACAUGAAUUAUGUACAAAGUAUUCAUGAUAGCACAUGAAAAUGGAACAAGACAUUUUCAGUCCCUACAAUAUAUUUAAUAUAAAAAAAAGCACAACCAACGCGCACAUGAAAUGAAAGCUUUGUUUUAUUGACAAACUAUAGCUAUUAUAAAGGUAAUAUUAUGAAAGAACAAUCUUGAUCAAGAAUUCAUUAAAUGGACCUACCACCUUUUAAUAGUUUAAUGCAUGAAACAUGCAUGCUUGUGUGAUUUCAUUCAACAAACGUCAAACACGGGAAUUUUCUGUGCGUUGUGACUAGUCCAAAAGCUAGACAAAUUCAUACAAGUUUCUAAAUUCAGAUAAGGUCAUUCUAGUAAAUGUCAUAGCAGCCUAGAUAACUCAGAAGUCAGAACAUAUGAAGCAUAACACGUGGUAUGAAUCAUUUGGUUUUGUUUUGGCAUGGAAAUGGCCAGCCUGGCUAAUGGGGAAGAUGAUAUUAAAAGACCAGAAGAACCCAACUUGAAGUUUCCAAUGGAAUGCCGCACGGGUUUUCCAUGCCCAUGUGAAAGGAAUUUGGAUGGAAUAGGAGUAGGAGUAAUGUUUGGUGUAGGUGAAAGUUUAGGAGAGCACAUAGUUCAUACCACAUUAUAAUCAUAAAAGAGAAUUGCAAGCAGGAACACAUAAUUUGACAUCACUGAACUUUAGGAUAGAGAAUUAAGCAAAACAAUAAGGUUGUAAAAUCUAGUCCCAUAGAGUUGUGCUCCGAUUGAAUGUUGGACAUUCGUGGAGUUCUCUAAACAUGAGACGACACACUUAAUCAUUUUUAAUGGAAUUAUUAGUUGUGUUUAGUUCCAAUGACCAGACGGGAUGUAGAGGUAUAAAGUGAAGAAGCUUAACAAAGAAUCAUUCAAAUCUAUAAUAUUGGAAUUGUGUAGCUCCACACAAGCUAUAGGUGUGGUUUGGUAUUAAAUAUACUGAUGCCUUCUGUGAAUUUGUACUAGAAGAUGCAGCAGGAGCUGCAAAAGAACUCAAUCUUGCACAAAUCUUGCACCCAUCUAAGAAAAUUCUAUUUGUCUAUCAAAACUAAUUUCAUCAUCUUCUGAGACCCCACUCAAAAAAACAAUCUUGCUUUGGCCCCUCACUUGUUUCUAGACCAGACUAUAUACUAAAAGAAAACAGAGGAAACAAGAAGUAGUUAGCCUAAACGCUAGAUUUCUAUAUAACUCUCUAACCUGAGCCAAAGCCCUUUGGCAUCGGUUGCUAAGAAGGAGGGUUUGCCAUGGUGAAGGGAUUGAAAGUAGCAUAAAGAUUCUAAACGACCCACAUAUGACAUGUAGGUGUUUGAUAAAAAGCCCCAAAGACAAGGAAUUAAGACAAAAAAGAUUACAAGCGCAUGCAUACCUGCACAGUUUGAGGGAUGAGGUCCAUCCUUGCAAUAGCAAGUGAACUCAGCUGUAGCUGUAUUGUACCCGCACUGACCACCAGAUCCGUUACAUUGCUUACACAAGUUAUUACUUGCAUCCCAUGUCAACCCAAACCCAGAAUCAAGAACGGCAACUAGAUUGUCCUUGGUGGAAUUCGUCGCCAAAUUUUCACCCGCUGAUUGCGAAACAAGGGCAUUGACGGUCGUGUGGCACGUUCCAAAGGUACCACUAAUAUUCGUGAGCCCAGAAUUCGUGAGGUUUUGUGUGACAAAGUAAUUGAUGUAAUUGGCAGUGCUGUUUAUGCUGCAGUUGAACUGACUUGUUAGCUGAAUUUGAAGAGGAAUAUUGAGUGGGGGGCAGUCAUAGAACAGCAGUAGUUCUUGAACAUCUGAAGCAUAUUCUACAUGGUUUACUUCUAUUGUGGUGUUGCCAGGCGACACAGGACAAACGUUGUUCCAGUAGUCUGUCCUAGCGAUUCUAAGAGUACUUGCACUUUGGUUGAUAUCCAGGACUCGAUAAUCUUUUUCCUGGAAUGAGAUCACCGGGGAGUCCCCGGUGCAGUUCAACUUGAAUUCCGGGUAGCCACAAUAAUUGGGCCGGCUUGAUCCCCAAAAAGGGUAACCAAUAUUCGGAAUAUUUGCGCAUUGAAACAAAGCGCUGCAGUUGAGGUAUUGCUCAUCAUCCUCACCCAAAGAUCUUGGAAUAUACAAUAGGCAUAUAGUACUUGUGAUCACAAGGAGAAAAGAGAUCUUUUGGAAGGGAUAGAGAUUCAUUUUGAGAGAGAGAGAGAGAGAGGUAAUUAAAGUUUCAGAAAGGAAAAGAUGAAGCAAUUAUGUUCAUCAAGAUCUCACGGUGCACGUUUCAGUCAACGUCGACUUAUUGAUUGGUGAGUAAAAUAAGACUUAUCUCUUGUUUAAUAAAAGUGUCAGUGUUAUAAAAUUAAAGAGAUUGUGGAAAGAAUUUAGGGAAUUCAACGAGCAAUAGGAAUGCUGUUUUGAUGUUUUCAUUGAAUCUUUCCGUUUUGUCUUUUACAAUGAGGACGAUGCCUUAUUUUAUAGGCAAAGAUUUUGCCUCUAGUGGAUGUAUAAUUUGCUCUCAAGGAAUGAUGGCAGACAAGCAUCAUCAUGAUGUCCUUCAUUAUUUCCAAAUGUGUGGGCUCCACUCAAGACUUUACAACACUCUCCCUUGGAGACCACAAAUGGUAUGGAAUAUGCCUCGUUAAAAACCUUGCCGGUAAAUUGUUGAGAGAAUUUAGAGAAUUCAAAUAGCAAUAGGAAUGUUGUUCUGAUGUUGUCAUUGAAUCUCUCUGUUCUGUCUUUUACAAUGAGGACGAUGCCUUAUUUUAUAGGCAAAGAUUAUUGCCUCCCGUGGAUGUAUAGUUUGCUCUCAAGGAAUGAUGGCAGACAAGCUUCAUCAUGAUGUCCUUCAUUAUUUCCAAAUGUGUGGGCUCCACUCAAGACUUUACAACACUUCCCCUUGGAGACCACAAAUGGUAUGGAAUAUGCCUCGUUAAAAACCUUGCUAGUAAAAACUCAGUGGGACAAAAAACUGGUCGAAGGGAAAAAUAGUACAUAACCAUGUGUAACAUAAAAUUUUGUGUAUUUUGACACGCGUACGAUACUGCCUCGUUAAAACCUUGCCAGAAAAAACCCAGUGGGAUAAAAACCUGGACGAAGGAAAAAAAGUACAAUGUGUGAAGGUCUUUAUUGAUAGCACGCUCCCCCUGAUGCUUAGCAAAAUAUCUUUAAGCCAUACUGUUGAUCAUCUUUCUAAAUGUCAUAGUUGACGCUGCUUCUAUGAGUCAAUCUUGUAAUAUUGUUGGAUGCUCCCCUUGGGGAAUAUAUCCCCCUGAAAUCUUCAUGACUAACUUUUUCCAAUAAGCGACUAUAGAAAUUUCCAGAGUCAACGUAUCCAACAAAAUUUGGGCUAUUUGUAAGUUUACUUGAAAAGAAUAUGCCCGUAUAUGGUGUUAUGCGGAGAUAGCAUCAAAUAUACCUCACAUCUUCCCAAAGUGGUGGUGAUGGAGCUGAGCUCUAUCUGAAAAAUAUAAUAUCCAGUCCAGUAUACUUCCGAAAAAUUAUUUAAGUGCCCAAUGGAUAAUCCACAUAAAAAUACUUCAAUAGCUCCUUAGUAUAAGCAAGAAUCUCAUUGGCAUAAUGCUAGAUCUUCAAGCCAAGAUAAGUAUUUCUUGAACUCUUCAAGAGUUUUAAUGUGUUGCAAACAUAUUAUAAUUUAAUGUAUUCACUGAGGCAAUUUAUGCAUAUUAAUAUUGAGUACAUAUUUUGUGCUUCAGGCACAUGUCUACAGACUUGCUUCAUGCAAUUUCAAUCCUUCAAUGAUUUUAUUUAAGGGAUUACACUUUAUGACACAUUAUAUAGCUUUAACCCAGCUAUUUAUACAUUUUUAGGGAAUCACUUCUAGCGAUAUGCUCCGUGCAUAAUCCUUAAAGAUAACAUGUUGGUCUCCGCAAAUGUGCAAUAAGAAGAUACGAUUGCAUCUGUAAAUAUGGAGAAACCCAACAUUCCUUGUUUCUACCAGAAACAUUGUGUCAUACAAAAUGGGUAUAUUCCCUUUUGUUCCAAACACCCAAGUAUAACUUUCAAUAUUAACAUCCUUUGGGGUUCGUACUAUGAAUUUUUUCUUUUACGUUUAUUCUCAUUUGUAAUGGAAUUGCCUCUUUCCAUUUUGGCCAAUGAUAUUGUCGACAUUUAAUAAUUGAACGUGGUUCCAAUCAACACAGCCCAUUAAUGAUUUGAGUAGCUACUCCAAAACCAAAAGUUUUCAUUCAUCAAUUCAUGAUCCCACCAUCCUCAUGUGCAUGCACGUACAUUAAUUAUAAGCAUUUCUUUGCUUUUGGGUACCCAAGCCACUUCAGGGGGCUUUUAUUGUCUCUUUCCAGACGGACAUCUCUUAUAAGAUGAAUUAUGUGAGAAUGUGGAUCAUGACCUCCAAUGGAGUGUUAUUUUACAGCAGGGCGUGGAUAAUCUCCAUUUAGGGAGUUAGAACAUUUAGAACCCAUAUAUUUGCCAUGCUGCGGGCAUGCCGCAUAUUAAUACAUACAUGUCAAUUUAUUGUCCUUCUGGGACUUUAAAGCAUAUAAUUUGCUACGCACUAGGCGUGCACCAUAUCAAUAUUGACAUGUUAAAGGAUUGUCUUUCCGGGACUUCAAUCCAUAUCAUUUGCUAUGCAACAGGCGUGCAUCAUAUUGAUCACUGCUAUACCCAUGUUAUGUUCUUAUGGGAUUUUAAUCUAUGUAGUGUAUCAUUAAUGUAUUUAUCUUGCAAUCUAUGAAAUUUGCAUUAAUAAUUCAUGAAUACAUAUCAAAAUGAUAUAAGCUAUUCUUCCGGAAUGGUCAUAAUACAAGUCGCUCUUCUGGAAUGAUCUAUAAUGCAAGUCAUUCUUCUGGAAUGGUCCUUUGCAUGGCGUUCUUCUGGAACGGUCUUAUCUCCCCAUUUGGUUACCUUCAAGGAUGUUGUACAAAAUAUCGAAAUAAGAGUAUAAGUAUGAAAUAACAUAGGUAUCGCUUACAUCCUUAGGUGGGAGAGGCUUUGCUCAAAUAUCUUCCAAGCUCAUAUCAGCUCAGCAAAUACAAUGUAAUGCUUGAUGAUCUAGUUAUAUCCUGCAAGAGCAAAAUUCACAAUCUUUUGUCUCUGUAAAAAAAAAUAACCCUAACAGUUAGGAUCACUUCAUAGAUUCUUUUUUCAAAUGUUCGUUCUAAAGAAAUAAAAUCCCUUAUGAACAGAGAGUUAUUAAAAGAAAGAAAAGAUAUAAAAAUUGUGAUAUUGAUUGCAACGUAAGGUAAGCAAUCAGGUGAGGAAGCUGAUGAGAGCAAACAACAAACUUUCAUUUCUCCUAGUCUAGAAGAACCUCAGGAGAUUAUAGCAUGUGGUCGUCUUUGCAGUUCCCCGAUGUAGCGAAAACGUGAUCAGGGAUAGUCUUGCUUCCUGAAUAAAUGAUCAGAGAUAGUCUUGCUUCUCAAGCACAUCGAGUGCUCACUGAUAGGAAAAAUAAGUGGAUAUCGCAUCACUAGGUAUGGGGACAACUGAAUGUCUUCUGCAAAGAAAAUUUCGUUAGUAACACAUUUAUACAUAAAUGAUAGGAAUAGUUAGGUCCGGUGAAUCUCAAAUUAACCACAGAAAAUUUGUGAGGUUCUGGAGGUGCUUUCGAAAAAGUAGCUCCGUGAAAUCCGAAAAGCAAGAUCGGCUUUGACGAAAAUAAUACUUGAAACCUCCGAAAGUGCCGACAGACAGUAAUGGAGGCCGCGUGAAGUUUUGGAAUCUGGGAAAGAAAAAGAGAAUAUGGGGAUCCUGGAAACCGUUGCCAUAUUUCCACCUAUAGAUAUUGCCUCUGCAAGACCAGAUUAGAGUAACUGCGUUUCAACUCAACUUCCUUUCAUUUUCUGGAAAUUCAGCUUCUCUUAAAACUUUCCUUGAAACCUUCCUAAAAAUGGCUUCCUCUUCUUCUCACCCAAACCAUCUUGAUUUAAAUGUUGCUCCCAACACAACUCAUGACUCCAAAGUUUGGUGUCCAUCCUUUGUAUCCCAAAAUCGUCAUCCCACAAUUAAUGAUUCUGUGAUGAUGAAUGAUGCGACUGCUGUCAUAGUAGAAAGGAAUUUCCUUAUUCUAAUGGAUGAAAUGCUGUUAUCAGUGAGGUCUGAUGAAAAGGUUAUUGAUGACUCAAUGACUUCUAGCAUUCAGAGUGCUACUUCUGUUUCUAACAUGGCUGAUCGUUUGUGUGCUAGAGUAAACGAGGUUCAAGAGCUGACCACUGAAAAUUCGUCUCUUUAGAGAAUGCUUCAUGAGUCUCAAUAGGAGGUUGAGAAACUUAAAGAGGAAAAUAAUGCCUUGUUGAAACUGGUGAGUUCGUACUCCAUUGAUACGCUGAGAAGGCUAGACAUGCUGCAGGUUUCCAAUGAAAAGAUUCUGGGAGACCAUGAGAGGCUCAUGGCUAAGCUUAAGAGGCCCCAUUCGCUUCCUUCAGAGGCUUCCAGAACAUAAUGUAAUUUUAUAGAUUUUACAGAGCCUGCACCUUCAUUGCAGGUGGAAAAAAUCUAUUUGUUGUAUGCCUUCUUUCCUGUUAUAAUAAUUUUGCAAAUUCUUAAACUUGCACGUGUGGUUUUUACAUCUUUUCAAAAUGACGGUUUGGAACCUUGUGCCUUAUAGGUUCAAGUAACCACAUCAAAUCUCUCAAAUUUCAUAUUUCAACUCAUGUGAGCCCAGAACUUCUGGCCUGAGCUAAACACAACCUCAGAAUUUAUUCGCCCUUUUCAAAUGGACAUGAAAUAUAAAUUGAGUAAAAAUCAUGAUAAUGUUGCAAUAUAGUAGUGAAGAGCAUUAACUACUAUACCCAAAACUUCAAGUUCGGGAUCUCUCAUAUCUUUGGAUCCAUGGGCUUCCGGCCCUGAUCAUAUGAUAUAACAAAAUAUGUGGGGAGCCUCAAUUCAUCAUUUGAGGUUUAUCCUGAUAUUAUCCUUUUCACAGUGUAUUUUUAACAACCGGAUUCACAAAAUAUAUUUCUUCCUUGAGGUGUCAAUUAUAACAUAAUCGAACUUUAUUAAAUUCAUCAUUUUCUUAUGCCAAAGAAAUAUGUGGCGUACCACAAUUUGCAAUAAUACCUCAAGAGUUGUCCAUUUAAUUGUUGAAACUUUAGGUUCUCAACAUUGUUAGAUUUUGAACUUCAGGCCAAAAUCACAUAUUCUCAUGGUAUGGACAUUUUUACAAUUUUCUGUACAUAUUUCAGGACUUCAAGUCCUUACAUAAUUGUCUAUAUUUUGAGAAACUUCUGGCAUCUCAUUCAAUUGCUCAUCCAUGAGUUUAAGGAGUUGUAGGUUCCCUUUUGUAUAUGGUGACGGUUUACCCAAAAUGGUUAAUAUUUAUGUAUACGUACUAUUCAUGUAUAUGAUACUGUUCAUCAAGUCAUGAAUACGUAUAUGGUACUAUUCAUCAAGUCAUGAAUACGUAUCUAUUCAUGUGUACAGUACAUUUGCCAGUACAGUUAUUUUUUACGUGUACGGCAUAUUAACCAAUACAGUAUUAGUACAUCAUCAAGGAACUCCAGGUCCUUAUUUACAUGUCAAGGAUCAAAGAUUUUCAAGUCCAAUCUCUUGUUUACAAAUAUAGUGCCGGAGAGACUGCCCGCUCUAAUAUCAAUAUCAUCAUUAAGGAUUUUCAAGUCCUGAUGUAGUUGUAUGAUGAGGAUUAAAGAACUUCUGGUCCUGAUCUGUAUUCUGUAAAAACUCAUCAUACCGCACAAUUAAUCCAUAAAAUAAAUUGCUUGUAAAUAAAUUGCUAGUAUGGACGAUAAACCUGCACCAUACUUUAAAUAAAAGUAAAUGUGUGAUAGAGUAAAUUCAUAAAUUAAAUUGCCUCAUGUAUGGACGUUAAUCCCGCACCAUACUUUAAAUAAUAAAGUAAAUGUGCGAUAAAGUAAAUGUACUGGUAUGGGCAUUAAUUCUAUUCCAUAUUUUUAAAUAAAAAGUAGAGACAGUUAUGUGGACGAUAAAUCCGCGCCACACCUUUAAAUAAAUACUGUUGUAUGGGUAAUAAAUCUACACCAUACAGCAAAUAAAUUGUGUCGUAUGGGUAAUAAACCUACACCAUACAGUAAAAAAAUUGUAUGGCUAAUGAAUCUACACCAUACAAUAAAUAAAAUAAAUGUGGGGAUAAAACCACCACUAAAAAUAUAGGAGGUGAAACUGUCCAUUUUUAUUAAAGUAAAUGUGAGGAUAAAACCACACAAAAACAUUGGAGGUGAAACCGUUCAUAGAAUUACUAUAUAGAUAGAUUAUAUAGAAUAUAUAAUCAGGCAAGCAAAGAAAACUAGGGUAUGAUGAAUAUCACGUUUGCUUCUGCCUUUCCACCAGCACACCUGUACUAAUAUUGGUAUUAAAUAGUGUAGGAUAAUAACAAAAUAAUUGAAAGAAUAAGGGGCAGAGAGCUUUGCUUAUUUUGUUUUCUUUCGGUUGGUUUGCUGUUAUCAUCAAAAGAUGCUUUAGCACUUCCCUUGGGUCAGUGGCUGAGAAAACUGUGUGGACGAGAACAAAGGGGCCAAUAAUCUUCAGCACCCAAAGCUGGGAAAAUUCUACGGUGGGCUUGGCGCAUGGAUGCUCCCAUUGUUAUAGACCAUUGGAAGAGUAGUUGGUGAUGUGGAGUUAUCCACAUCGUUGAGUUAGUUACCAGAUAAAUUGGUUGUUGUAGGUAAAAAGAAAACAAAAACAAAAACUCUCCUUUAGUAGCAUUGGGUAGGCCUCAUCAUUUGGCCCGCGGGCUCGUGGGCUGAUGGGGGCUGGCCCGGCCCAUUAUGGACUUUGAGAUGGCUUGGCCCGCUUUGGGCCGGACUAAGCUUGGGCUUGGGUGUCUGAAGCCCGGCCCGGCCCAUAGGCUUUGCCCGAUUAAGCCCAAGAAAGCCUAGCCCGACCAGACCACAAAAGCCCCGCCCGUUAGGCCUGCAUACAUAUAUAAUUAUGUAUAAAUAAGAAUUUAGGAUUAGGAUUAUAUCACUUAAAUCACAUAUAUAAUUUGUUUCAUUUUAUUUACUUUUCUUUACUCAUUCCUAGUUUAUAAUUGGAUGAUUAGCACAUUAAUUUGUGUCAAUUAUUAAUACAAGAAUUAUAUAUAUAAAUAAGAUGAAUAACAUAUCAUAUCACCAAAUAUAAUCAUAUCACGAAACAUAAUCGUACCACCAAAUAUAAUCAUGUUUUUCUUGAACACAUCACCAAACAUUUACAUAUUUAUUUAUACCAUCCUUUUAAAAAUAUAUAUCUUUUUGAUACUUAUUAUUUUUUAAAAUUAUUUCUUAAAACGUAUUACGGUCUAAUUAUGUAAUAACCUCAAAAAUAAUACUUGGUUUUAUCAUUUUUUUGAAAAAUCUUAUUAAGUUGUGUGAUUUUAUUGGGUAGUUUAUGAAUUUGGUUUGAUGUGAAAAUAUUGGAAUUAAGUGAGUUUAAUCUCAAAUAUAGACUAAAAUGUCCUUAUGAUUAAGUUUAUGAUUUUUUUCAAAUGAAGUAGGCCCGUUUCGGCCCGGUCCGGUCCGAUGGGCUUUCUCAAUCCCGGCCUAUGGGUCGGGCUUGGGCUUUGAAUUUUCUAUAAAAAAAUCCGGCCUGACCCAGUAUUUUCUCUCUCCUCUUUAAAGCCCAGUCGACCCUACCCAAGCCCGUUAAAUUUGGACCGGGCUAGUCCGACCGGGCCCAUUGACGAGCCCUAGCAUUGGGUUUCUCUUUUCUCUCUCUUCGAGUUCGACUCCUUCCAAAAUAGCUCCUCUCCUCCUCCUGUGACAAUGAGACAGCGCGAUGAACACAACUCCUCUCCUCUCAGGUAUCCCUCUCUUUCUUCUCCCUAAUUGUCUCUCUCAUCUCUAUAUCUCAUGGUCUCUCAAUCUCCUUCCCAGGCUUCGUUUCAAAACCAAACCCAUACCAAAAAUCUCAGCCCCUAUUGAAACCCCCAUUUAGCUCGAUCCCUGCCGUCUCUCUCUCUCUCUCAAUCGUUUCAGCUUUCACUCUCCCUCCCUCACUCGAUUCUCUUUCUCUAUAGCUUUGGCUUGCUCUCUCUCUCUCUCUCUCUCUCUCUCUCUCUCUCUCUCUCUCUCUCUCUCUCUCUCUCGUUUCAGCCUUCACUCUCCCUCCCUCACUCGAUUCUCUUUAUCUAUAGCUUUGGCUUGCUCUCUCUCUCUCUCUCUCUCUCUCUCUCUCUCUCUCUCAUAUAGAUACGAGCACCAAACGUGGGUGGGCACAAAUUUGUGAGUGAUAGAAAGUUUAGGGUUUCAAUUUUGUUAAACUGAAGAUAAUGUUAAUUAUUCAGGGUUUGAGUUUUCUAAUUUAUAUUGUAAGUUUUAGGUUUUAAUAUUGGGCUAUGGUCUCUGCAGGUUUUCAACUUUUUAAUUUGUAUUUGAACCAUUAAUUUGGAGACAAGGUGAGGAUUUCAUAUUAGUGUUGAACUAGAUGUGAGAUUUGAGUAAUGUUAGUUUAAUUUUGAGUUUACUGCAUUCAUCAUUUUUUGGUUUUUAUUUUUAUUUUUCUGAGUUGGUUCUUGUGUCUACAAGUUGCAUCUUGUUUUCAUAUUUGGAUUCCUGAAUGUGCUAUGAUGUCAUUCUUAAGUCUUUUUGUUUUUUUUUUCCCUGGGGUCUGGCGUGUUGCUUUGUUUGCCUUUGUUUAGCCCGGAUUCUUCUUUUUUAUGUGGUUUUUUUGCUUUAGUUUGUAGUCUUGGUCGUGUGGGAUGGGGGUUGUGAGGAUUGCUCAUCCUCCUGUAGCCCCAUUGAUUUAUAAAUAUCAUCUUUGGAAGCUUGUUAUGAUUGAUUUUUUUCUUCUUCUUGUCAGUAUUCUACUAAACGUGUGUGAAGGUUGCCUCUUUUUUGGGGUUUUAAUGAAAGCUACAUAACAACCAAACAAUAAAAGCCUCUGUUAGUUUCCUUUUGGUCUCUCUAAUUUUUUGCUGACCUUGUGCUUUCUCUUACUAACUGACAAUUGGAUGUUCACUUGGUGUUCACUUACUAACUGACAAUUUUCUAUGAAUUGUUGCUUGAUUUUCAUUCAUCAUGUGUACAUCUACAUAGGAAGCCUUGUUUAUUACCUCCUCUCUCAUGCUUACUAUCCUAGGAUUCUCUACCCUUCAUGUAUGUGAGUUUUAAAUUUUCAUCAUUAUAUAUGUUAUUAAACAUUAGAGAUUAUUUAAGGCAUCAUCUAUUAUCUGAAUUCUGCUUAGUCUUAGUUUGAUGUGCAUUAAUUAACUCUUUAAUUCAUACAUUUACAUUUUAGCAACUUGAUGUGAUUACUGUGGCUCAUACCAAAAAGGCAAUCUUAGGCUCAUCAAGGAAAGUCGAGCUUCCAAGUAACUUACUGGAUAUUAGAUCAUUUGUUUUAUUUCCCUAUGUUAUUAACAUUUUUUAGUGCUGAAUAUUUAUUUUUAUUGGAUGUGAGAUUUGAGUUUGUUGCUUUAUAUAAUUAUUUAGCAAUUUAAUUAUUUCUUCGCACCUUUUGUUUAUGAAGCUUUAAUUUUCUUUUUCAGUCAUACUAUUCUUUUUGUACUAUCUGUUUUUUUUUUUUUUUUUUUUUUUUUUAUAUUUAGCUUGGCAUUGUAGUCGAGAUGUGGAUGUGAGUUUUUUUUGCUGAAAAGAAACCCAUUGUGAUUUGAGUUUUUUUUUUUUUUGACAGACAAGACACCCAAUAUGAUUAAUUUCAGUAUCUUUUUUUUUUUUUUUCCAUGUUAGGCAGAUUGUUGAUGUUGAAAUUUUUGUGACUCAUUUGAAAGGCAUUAGGUAGAAUUUCUUAAUUGUAAUGAUAUUAUGAGCUCUGACAUUGAGUUCAUCUUCAUCGGAGUUGUUGUAUUAUAUUGAAGUUUGAUAUAAUAUUUAGGCGUGUAAUUACCAAAUUGUAAGGGGUUUUUUGCAGUUGGUGUACGUAACUUAAAAUACAAUUGGCAACCUUUUUGCAUUUUCAGAAUGCAAUUACCAACUGACUAGUCUGUUAUUGCAAUUAGAGUAUGAUACAUUAUAUUUGUUGCCUUGCAUUUUUGUAAUGAAAAUGCAAUAGGUACUUCGGUAUGUCAUUUUUUAAUCCAAUUAGCAAUUGGUUAGUCCGUUUUUACAAUUAGUGUAUGCAUAUUGUCAUGUUAUUGGUAGCCUUUUCAAUUUGCAUAUUGUUAGAAUGUAAAUACAAUAUGUGGUUUGUUAAUGCAAUUGAUAAACAGGUAAUGUCAUUUGCAUUCCAGUCAUGCUAUUGAUAAACAAAGCAGUCUCAUUUGCAUUCCAAUCGUGCAAUUGUCAUUAUCUGUGCAUAAUUAAUUGAAAAUAUAUAUACAAUAUGUGAUUUGUUAAUGAUAUUGACAGUCAAAGUAGGCUUAUUUGCAUUCCAGUCGUGCAAUUAACAAUCAUAGUAGUCCAAUGCUUUAUAUGUUUAUUAUGAAAAUACAAAAGAAAAUUGAACUAUGCAGUUGGACAAGUUUAUUUUCCAAAAUAAACAUUUGAAUUGAUUAAGGGUAAAAUAAAUACAAGUUAAUAGAAAGUAUUACGUCAUACAGAUCCACAUAAAUAAAGGUACAAAGCAUUAGAUUUUCACAUAUUAACUUCUAGGACAAACUACAGUAAAUCCCCCAACCUAUAUGGUCAUUUACGAGUUCAAACAUGAUUUUGGAGACAUUUACGAGUACAUACUUAACGUCGCGAAAAACCUAUAAUUUGCCCCAUUUGUUAGAGAAACCGUUAGUGAAUCUGUUAAAUACUGAUGUGGCGAAUAUGAGUUUCAUUUUUUUAAUGAGGUGGACUUACAGGUGGACAAAUAAAUACUAAAAAAAUUCUAUAUUAUUUAAAAAUAAUUAUAAACGAGUAAAUAAUAUUAUUCAAUUAAAUUAAAAAGAAAACAAUUUCUCUUCGUCUCUUUCUCAUCCCAACCCCACCCCACCCCACCCAAACUGACUGCCUUUUCCCACACCCACACCGACCUACCCUCCCUUCGUGCACACCGCCGUUAAAGUCAUCGCCACUGACCUCACUGUUGUUGGAUAGAACCAAGGGCAAGAUCUCUAUCCUUAUCAACUGCCUCUUCCUCUUUCUUCCUUGGGAGACCUUACGAUCGCCAUCUUCAUUCCUCGACCUCCCAAUUAAGGAUUGAUCGUCGCUUGGGUUGGGGGUUUUCAAUUUUCCGAAUUGAUCGUCGUCGACCUCAACCAUGGUUGUCACCAGAAGAUGCGAUUUCAACUUCCAAAGGGAUCAAGUUGCAGUUCUCAAAAAACGCAGACUUCGUUUUGGGGCUUCUGAGAAACCAUGGAUUCUCUCAAACCCAGAUCUCAAAGUUUUGCAAAACUUGCCUAGAAAGUAAUGGGUUUUAAUGGGUUGCCCUUCUUUUCUUGCUUUCUGGCUUUGUUUGGAUGCUGAGAAAAUAGAUUUGAGUGUAUGUUUUGGUUGAAUGAAACAGAACAAAUGGUUUUUCUAUAAAAUUGUGAUGAAAUCCAGUCAUUUACACUCUGUGAUGUGUUUUGUAUACUCAUUCAAAUGCUUCAUUUUGGAUUUGGGUAGUGGAAUUCGAUUGAGCUGAACUUGGGGUUUUAUCCUUUUGGAAGAAACAAAGAGGUUCUCAGUGCUAGAUUCACGAAAUUUGGUUUGCACAAUAAUGAAACAGAGGGAUUAUAAGCAAUUGGGCAAGAUGAUGGCUGCAACGGAGAGAAGGGGGGUGGUGGUGUGGGGUGGGGUAGAGACGACGUGGGGGCUGGGAAGGGGUGGGCAAGGUCGUCGGGGUGGUUAGCUAGGUUGGAUAAGAGAGAUGAGAUUUUUUUUUUUUCAUUUUUAAUGAUUUUAAUAUUAUUUAAAAAUUAUUUUAAACAUGUAUAUAAUUAUUUAUUAUUUAUUUGUCCACUUGUAAGUCCACGCCAAUUAAAAAAUGGGUCCCAUAAAUGCCACAUAGGCAGAUAAUGGAUUUUCUGACGAUCUCGCAAACAGAGGGGGCAAAUUGUAGGUUUUCCGCGACGUUGAGUAUGUACUCGUAAAUGUCCCCAAAAUCAGGUAUGAACUCGUAAAUGACCCUAUAGGUUGGGGGGUUUACUGUAGUUUGUCCUAACUUUUAUUGUUAAGCUCUUUUUUGUUAAGUUAGAUCUCACUUUUAAAUGAUGAUGGGAAAUUUGUCUCUUAUUUGGCAAUUGCCAUUGAUAUAUAUAUAUAUAUAUAUAUAUAUAUAAAAGGUGCAUGUUUUACCAUCAAUUACCCUAUUUCCAUUGAUUAAAAAAAAAAAAAAAAACAAAGAGCAUGUUCUACCAUCAAUUACCCUAUUUGCUUCACUUUUGACUUCAUUUUCACAUGAUUUCAGUUCUCAUUCCCAUUCCUAAUGCUUUUGUAACCCCAAAGUGAAUAAGUAUUUUUUUGGGUACAAAAAUAAUGCGAUUUUUGGCCUUUGUAAAUAUGUUGUAAGCAUGUAUUUAAAAUAUAUUAAAAUCAAUAAAAUAAAUUUAUAAAGGGAAUGUGGGAUAUUAGAGAAGUAAAUUAGGUCCUUAUCCUUGUAAACCCAAGGAUUUACAAUAGUAAGGAAUCGUAUGCAAUUGACAAACAGUCAGUGGGAAAUUGAAACUGAAUAAUGCAAUUGACAAAUAGUAAGAUCAAAAUUGCAAUUGACAAAUAGUAAAAUGAAACAUUUGGAAGGUAAAUUAGGUCCUUAUACUGAUAAACACAAACAUUUGCAAUAUUAAGGUCUCGUAUUAUUCUAUAUUAAACAAGUGUGUUCGAUAAGAGUAUAAAACCCAUCCUUAAUAUUGUAAUAUCGUAAUUUACAAGAUAAAGACAUAUAGUACAAUAUUAAGGUAACUUGGGGCAUUAGGAAAGUAAAUUGGGUCCUUAUAUUUGUAUAAGAAUAGGGUAAGAGUGGACCUUGGUGGAAUAAAUUUGGUCUUUGUCAUUGUAAACAAGGGAGUUUACAACAUAUAGGACUUCCGUUAUAUUGUUAUGGACAGAGAGAUUCCAUAAAGUUAUAAAAGAGAUCCUUAAUAUUGUAAUAUCGUAAUUUACAAAACUCGUAAUGACCCCCAAUACAAUGUUAAGGUAAGAAUGAACGUUGGAGUAGUAAAUUGAGUCAUUAUCCUUGUAAACAAGGCGGUGGUUACAACAUUAAGGAUUCGUAUCAUAAUAAAAUGGACAUAGUCGUCCCAUUAUAUUGUAAAAGUCAUCCUUAAUCUCGUAAUACCAUAAUUUACAAUAAGAAGGAACCCUUGUAUAAGAAUGGGGUAAGAGUGGACCUUGGUGGAAUAAAUUUGGUCCUUAUUCUUGUAAACACAAUGGUUUACAGUAUUAAGGACCAAUUUUACAAUGUUUUGGACCUCCAUGUUCCAUAAACUUUGUAAAGUGUAUCCAUAAACUUGUAAUAUCAUAAAUUACAAUAAAAAGGAUCUCUAUUACAUGGUUAAGGUAAUUAUGGACCUUAGAGAUGUAAAAUUGGUACUUAUUCUUGUAAAUGCAAUGGUUAAUAACAUUAAGGAAUCGUAUUACAAUACUUUGGACGUAAGCUCUCCAUAAACUCGUAACGCUGAUCCAUAAUCUUGUACAUUACAAGAUUUGGGUUCUCAUUUGUGAUUUUUUGCACCAUGAUUACAAUUUUGAGGUUCUUCCUUAUCCAUAGCGUUGUAAUAUCCUGAUUUACAAUUGAAAGGAUCCCUCUCACUAUAAGGUAAGGGUAGACUUUGGAGAAGUAAAGGUGAUCCUUAUUGUUGUAAACACAAGGAUUUACAGUAUUAAGGACCUCGAUGAGAUUACGGAUCCACUUUACAAGUUUAUGGAAUGGUUUACUAGAAUAAGGACCCAUUUUACAUCCCUACGGUUCAUCAUUAAUUCCUUGUAAUAUGAAUCUAUAUCCUUGUAAAAAGCUGAUUUACAACAUUAUGGAUUUGGUGAACCCUAACAUUGUAAUCUAAGAGCAAAACCUUGUAAAUUGUUACCAAAACUUGUAAGUUACGAGUUUAAGGAAUUGGUAAUGGUAACUCAAUCACUUUCUUCUCAUUCAUUGCCUCAUUUAGUAUUUUGUUAUGUUACAUACUUAUAUAAAAUUUCGAGUAUUUUAGUUGAAAUUGUAUAUAUUAUAUUUAAAUAUCAUAUUUAUGUAUUAUAUUUUGAUUAUAAAGUGCAAUAUAUAUUAUUUAAGUAUUAUAUUAUUAUAUAUUCUUAUUUAACAUUUUUUUUAUCGGAACAUGAACCAAUUAUAUUACGAAGAUAUGAACAAAAAAACAGAGACGGGUCAUAAGGGAAAUUUUUGUUGGUAGAUGCUAUAAGUCAUCUUUUGUUAUAAGACAUUUGUUUAAAGUUAUUUUUAGAAUAAGUACGAAUACAUAUAUAUUUUUAUAUAAUAAUAUGUCAUCUUGAGAAGUAAUUAUAAUAUGGCUUCAAAGUAUGGUCAUAAAAUAUUUAUUAUAAUAUAAGUGGAUAUUUAUUGAUAUUAUGUCUUAAAAGUUGAAUAUGUUAUCAGUGAUUGAUAUUAAACACGUAAACAAGUUAUACUAUAUAGUAGUAUUUUAGUUCCUUAUAGUAAUUUAUUCACAUUUAAGAAAUAACAAAACAAAAAGAAUAGUUUAGAUGUUCAAAAAUUAUUUUUGGUUACAAGUAAAAAAAAAAAAAAAAACUAUUUCAGUUUGGACAAUUGGAUUUAUAUAAAGUUACCCAAUUGAUUUUGGUUACAAGUUAUAUAAAGCAACCCCUAACUCAUGAAUCCUGAAAAAAUUUGCAAAUGUCGUGAAAUAAUUGUAACAACAUUAUGGUUAACCCUAAUCCAUAACAUUGUAAUACCCUAAUUUACAAAGAAAAUGACACAUAGUACCAAUAUAAGAAUGGACUUGGAGGAGUAAAAUUAUGUCAUUAUCCUUGUAAACACCACUGAAAAUCUUGUAAUCUAAGAGAAAACUUGUAGACUUUCUACUUUUAUACUUAUUUUUCUUGACUUUUAAUCCUAACCAUGUACUAUAAAAUCCAUGGCCAUGUUAGGAAAAGAAUAUAAAUUUAUAAUACUUCGUGGAUAUCUACAAAAGUACAACCAUAACAAGUAAUCUAGUUCUUAUUUUAGAAAUUGAUUUCAACCAAUUAUAUAGACAAAACUUGAGGUGAAAAAAUUUGAUGGAUAAAGCCUUUCAAGCUCUCAAAUAAAUGUUGAUGCGCAUUCACCAAUUCUAUGAAACAAAAGAAACAAAAAAUUAAAACUAUCAACCUCAAUUGAUUUUUAAAAAGUAGCAUAAAAUGUAGAGAAAUUAACCAUAACUAGCCAUCAUUAUUCAUAUAAAUAAAAUCAGCAAAUCAUAAUGAACUUGAGUAAAGCUACAAUGAGGUGACACAACGAAAUCAGCAAAAAAAAAGAAGUCAAAUAGUUCUCAUAAAAAAAGAGUGUCUAAAACGGUAAGUUUAGAUUUAUAGAAGUAAACAAAUACCAUUGCGAAAUUCAUAAGCAUGUCAUCGCAAGUUAAAAAGAAUAAACUCAAUUGAAAAUAACAUGUCAAAUUAUAUGCCAAUUGCCAAACAGGAAAGACAUAAUUGCAUAAUCCUUGUGCAAUUGCAUUUACAUUAAAUAUUAACAAAAUGUGAAAACUUGACAACUUGUAUAACCGGUAACCAAUAUUUUAAAAAUUCUAGACUUAUCAUAAAGGACAAAUGGUGCAUGGGUGCACUAUAGAAGGUGCCUCAAAGCUGUGCCCUUGCUGUAGCCAAUAUAUAAACUAUUAAAUCUGCCCACCAAAACCAAUCAUAUAAUAAUAUAAUAUAUAAAGUACAGUCCCGAUCUCUUGGACCACAGGAGUCCAAGAGAUUGUGGUCACCCACCGUUGGAUAUUAAUCCAAUGGUUCAAAAUGAUAUAUAUAAAUGCAAUAUGACAUAAAUGAUUAUUACCCGAUUCAAGUCAACCGUUGAAUUUACAUCCAACGGUGGGUGACCAUAAAUCUCUUGGACUACAGGGGUCCAAGAGAUCAGGACUGAUAUAAAGUAACCAAAAGCAAACAAGAAGCGAUUGAUAAGGAUAUGGUUGUCCAUGCUCCCGGUUGCUUGCUUAUCUCCACUAAUCUCUGAGUCCGAGUCCUCUUGCUCAUCGCCAAAAAAAUAUCCAAAAGCAUGAACUCUACAGGUAAAGGGAUUUGAAGUUAGCAGGCUUGGUAAAGUAAUUGCAACAAAGAGGUCUCUGGCAACUGAAAUCUGGUCUCUUGGGAUCUCUUUUGGCUUCGCAGGCGCAUCAAUACAUGAGCUCGAAGAAGUUGCCGAUUCUGGAAGAGCGACCAGGGCCGCCUCGAAGCCAACUGAGCAGUGGGGUUCGAGAGAGAUCGGGUGAGAUUGUGAGGUUCUGAGCUUCAUGGAAAGUGUAGAAAAUUGUAGAGCCUGUGGUGGGAUUGACUUGUUUUGUUGGGUUUGUGUUUUGAAGCUAUAGAGAGUGACACAGAAGAUAUUGAUACACAGAAAAGCAUGAGCAGCUCAAUCAAAUCCAAGAAAGAAAAACAAUGAAGCAGAGUGUUUUGAUCGAAUAUCCCAGCUGGUAUUUUAGAGAUAUUCGUGCUGAUAACGUAUUAUAAAACUAAAGAGAUUGUGGAGAGAAUUUAAAGAAUUCAAAUAGCAAUAGGAAUGUUGUUAUGAUGUUUUUAUUGAAUCUUUCCGUUCAGUCUUUUACUAAGAGGAGGAUGCCUUAUUUUAUAAGCAAAGAUUAUUGCCUCCCGUGGUUGUAUAGUUUGCUCUCAGGGAAUGAUGGCAGACAAGUUUCAUCAUGAUGUCCUUUAUUAUUUCCAAAUGUGUGGGCUCCACUCAAGACUUUACAACGGCCAAAAAUAUUUCUUUUUCUUCUUAACAUGGAAUUAACAGGCAACUGGUCAAUUGUCGACAUUAAAAUGAAGGGAUUUGCUUCUUAUUUGUAUAAUUGACUUAUUAUUGUAUAAUAGAGUUUUAUUUAAAUACACUGAAGAGGAAUGAAUUAUUGAGAAAUUUCCCCAAAUAUUUUAGCACAAUAUUAGAACGACCAUCAUAAGUCAUCUCAAAAUCUCUUUUCUUUUUCCUCAAAUUGUUUUCAAACUCUAAAUUUAUACUCAUACAAAAACCCAAAUCAUAUUCAAACAUCAUAGUUUACCUGUAUCCUUCCCAAAGCAUAUAUAUCCCAAAACAAAUUCCGCUACAAUGUCAAAUUCAAUUGAAACCCCUACCUUAUAACUGCUUGCAACUCCACACCAUUCAGAAUGACAAUUUUGGGUUGACUGCUGAAAUCAUGUGGAAUGAGACCAACUAUAGUCUUUAGUCUGAAGUCAUGGAGAUGCGAAUUGCCAGGCGAGAAAAAUAUAGGUACCUGACUAGUGUCAUGCCCCAAAUAUAGGUAUUUGUCUACAGUUGUUAGACCAGACACGUAUUUGAACUUUUGACACACAGGUAACUUAGCACACUAUAUAAUCUUUGUUCUUGUUUUCUUUUCAUUCAGAGUUGCAGGAGACGAAUGUAGAACAUAAACUAAGUAUAUCAGAAGACAGAACUACUGGUUCGAACCAAACGUUGAAAAAGAUUUGAGCUAUGAACACCAAGCUUACCAUUUGAAAGGUUAUUAAGCAUAGAAUAUUCUUGAGAUGCAAUAUUCAAACAAUAUGAUAAUAAUGAUGCUGAUUUAUAUUACAUGUUUUUCUUUUUUGGAUUAUGAAAAGAUUAUACAUGUUCUCCAUCUUAAAAUUGAAAAUCAACACUUAUAUACCGAUAUAUCUUAAGCUUACACGCAAAGGCUUUGAUGUGGUUAUAGAGUCUUCUGUUUCAGGUGGUUGAGAUGUGGUCAUAGAGUCUUCUGCAGCUAUUGUAGGAGAAACCAACAAAGGCUUUGGUGCAAUUUGCAAGGAAUGAAGGGGUCCUUCCAGCAUCUCUACCACUUUGCUCAUUGAUGGCCGAUCAUCAGGAUUGGUCUGAAUGCACCAGAGACUUGUUAAUACCAUCUUUCUUGCUAUUUCUUUUUCCCCCUCUGUGGUUGCCCCAAAAACAUUAUCAUCCUUGUCUAGCUCAAGAUCUUUAUAAACGUAAUGCGGAAACAUUUCACUCGUAUGAGACACUGCCGAAUCCAAAUUCUUUCUUGCUCCAACCAUUUCAAGAACCAACAUCCCGUAGCUGUAAACAUCACAUUUGUGAGAUACGCCUCCGAAGUUCCAGCUAAAUACUUCUGGUGUGAUGUAUCCUGCAGUUCCCCUUGUCCCCAGCAUCGAUACGAUACGCUCCUUCUUUUUGCACAAUUUGGCAAGGCCAAAAUCUGCUACUUUUGGGCAAAACUCUUUGUCCAAAAGAAUGUUCUGUGGCUAAGGUCAAAAUGCACAAUUCUUGUGUUACAUCCACGGUGUAAGUAUUCUAGUCCUCGGGCAAUGCCGACUGCAAUUUCAGAUAGUUUUUUCCAUUCUAAGCGAGAAUUUGCCAUUUCAGAUCCUUGCUUACGUAUGAAAUUAUCCAGAGAUUCAUUAGGCAUGAAUUCAUAAAUCAAAGCUCUUUUGUUCCUCUCAUAACAGAAUCCACAAAGAGUGACUAUGUUGACAUGGGAAGUUCUACCAAUGCUAGCAACUUCAUUGAUGAAGUCUUCUCCAUUACCCUUGGACUCACUUAGGACUUUAACAGCCACCAGAAGGCCAUCAGGUAGCUUUCCUCUGUAUACUGUGCCAUAUCCUCCAUAACUUCCUGGAUGUCAAUCUCAUUCUUCUUAUAUUUCUUCAAGAAAAGCACUUUUUUUUUUUUUUUUUAUGCGUAUACCAUACAAACAAUGAAAACAAUGGCGGAAGUUACACCCGCUAAAAUCCCUAUAAAUUCAAAAAUAUUUUCAAGUUAUGCAUUUCAUUAAGUUGUGAAAGACAAAAGCAAUAGAAUAAAGUGAUAUUGAAAUAAAACCUGGAACAAAAUACUUGUUUCUUUAUAUUUCACUUCUCUUCUUGUAUUUUUAUUUAGAGAUAUUUAGUCAUACACCCAUUCUUAACACUAAUGAUAUAAAUAAACCCUACACCAUUUAAUUUCUAUAAAUAAAUAAAAACCCAAAAACUGACAAUUGGCCUAUUGAAUUGAAUUUUGAUUAUUAAAUUACUUUGAUGCCCUAUUGAGUGUUUUGAGUUUUUUUUAUGAGGUUUUAAGGUUGGGUUUGUUUUAAGAAAUCAAUGACAGUUUUGUAAUUUAUAAGAAGUUAAAAGUCUUUUUUUUGUGUUGCAACUUGUAAGUGAGCUUUGGAUGUGUUUUUAAAGUCCAUUUCAUAUAGUUUUUUUUUUAAAUAAUUUGGGCCCCUAUAUUGGGUAUAAUAGUAAAUCUACCUUUAAUUUAUUGUAGUUAGUUAGAUGAUAGUUAAGCUCCUAGUCAUUUUAAGCAGUCAUGUAACUUUUAAAUGAACUUUGGAGGGCUACCAUUUAAUAGUUACUGAAUCAAGGGCUAGAACGAAACAAAGGAACCAAGCAGAGUUACCUAUUGCAAUCUUUUCUCCAGAAACAAUCACAUGAUAGAGAAAUGUUGAUCAAUAAAUGAAUAUAUAUAAUCCAUUGGUAAAAAAAUAAAAAAUAAAAAAUAAAAAAUAAAAAAAACCACGCCAACAGAUAUUUUUUAGUUACAUGUUGCUAAUUUCACUAAAUCUAGUCAUUUUGUUGCCAAAUGUUCACAAUUUGAACAUUUUAAAACCAAUAAGAAUCCUGUUGUUUUAAUUUGACAGUGGAAUUUCAUAGCAGGAAAGCAAAGUAGGUACGCAAAACUAAAAGACGAGAAAGUUUUGGAUAUCGAACAGUCAAAACACUACGUAAAAAUUUCUAAAAAUUCCUAAUUCACGACGGCUUAUUGUUGCUAUCUUUCUAAAUCUUAUCCGUGAAACAAGAAAUAAAAAUACGAUGUCAACAAUUCCUAGUUAGCUGUCAGUGGUGGUCCCAGAUUCGAACUUCUAUUGUAAUUUAAUGGCGUGUGAGAAUCCUCUUUUCGCUAUAAUUUUCACUAUUACUUAAUACUAAAAAAAAAAUUAUAAAAUGAAGAAAAAAUUUAAACUUCAAGUACGUAUACUAUUGAAUAUGGUACCUAAUAUGUCACAAACCCGAUCCCCACAAAAGCAAACGGGCCGGCUCGAAUGGGAGUCAAAUCCACAGCUUUUUACAUCAAGCCAUUUAGAGCAUUCAUUAUCAUAAGGGUUGGUAUAGUUAACGUUAAAGCCUUCCAUGAUCGCUUCCUGAAACAACGACCUAUUGGCACCCAGCUUCGCAGCCGCGGUCUUGAGAAUCAGCACUGUAGUUUCAAUCUUACAAUUGACACUUGUGGGGGUCUUUUUAUUCCAGCAGCCUGAAGAAUGGGCCUGUGUCUGAAUUCGAGGAUCAGACCCCAAGAGUGUCUCGAAAGGGUAGCUGAGUCUUAGGAAACACUUUGGUCUUCUUCACCAAUGAAACCAACAGUCGCUUACAGAUAAAUUCUUGGGCUUUGCAUGAGAAACUUGUGGCAUGGGAGCUGAGCAUUCACGAGUUUAGCAUGAGAGAGAAAAAUCUUGGGUUUUCUAUGAGGAACAGAGGUUUGAAGUAAUGAUUUCGUGAGGAUUUGCUGAGAGGAGAGAGAGAGAGAGAGAGAGAGAGAGAGAGAGAGAGAGAGAGAGAGAGAUUAUGGUGGAUGAAUAGGUGUUGUGGGUAAUUUUCCAGUAGCUUGACGAAAGCUUUGUCAGGCUCUUGGGUUGCACGACAGAAGAUAAAAUGGGAAGAGAUGGAGGAGCAAGGCUCGAAAUUGCCGGGGUUUCAGAGAUGAGAGAUGAUGCUUGCUCUCUGGAUGUGUGUUUAUGGUAAGAGAGGAAGAAGAUGGAAGCAUGGGUGGCUUUAACAUAUUUCUAGUAGCUUGACGAAAGCUUUCAAGCUCUUGGGUUGCACGAUAGAAGAGAAAAUAGGAAGAGAUGGAGGAGUAAGGCUCGAAAUUGCAAGGGUUUCAAGGAUGAGAGAUGAUGCUUGCUCUCUGGAUGUGUGUUUUGGGAGAGAGAGGAAGAAGAUGGAAGAACAGAGCAUGAAAUUGAAGGGUUCCAGAGAUGAGAGAUGAUGCUUGCUCUCUCAGGAGGUGGGUUUUUGGGAGAGAGAGAAAGAAGAUGGAAAAACAUAGCAUGAAAUUGAAGGGUUCCAGAGAUGAGAGAUGAUGCUUGCUCUCUCUGGAUAUGGGUUUUGAGAGAGAGAAAGGAAGAAGAUGGAAGAACAAAGCAUGAAAUUGAAGGGUUCCAGAGGGGAUGCUUGCCUUUGAUGAAUUCUCAUGGUUGUUGGGAGGCUUGCAGCAACCAAGGUGAGUUCUCUUUGCUGGGUAGAAAGUGGCUCCCUUUAUAGGCACUGAAAACCUUAAUUUUAUCAAGCCACCCUCUCCCCUUUUUCUUCACUUUCUUCUAUUCCAUCUUAUUUGGUGAAACUUCCCUAGCCUGAGCAUGUAGGCAUGAAGCUUUUUGGAGUUCCAAGGUCCUCAGGCAGCUGGACUUCUCCACGUAGGUGAGGAAUCACCCACUUUUGCUUCUUGUUUUCUCACCAAAGCUUGAAGAGGAAAAAAUGGGUAUGGGUGCUAGUCAAAAGGUGAUCAGCACAUAGGUUUGCUUGGUUUUGAUGAUUUUGACAGAUAUGCUAGAUAUUUUCCAUGAUGCUGGGCUGGGCUAUUGGUAUCUUGUUUCCAACGGCCUGUAAGUUUGCUCAAGUUGCUGGAAAUAGCCUAUUUGAUCAAGGUGCUGGAUAUUUUGGUCGAUGUGGGAUUUUUCCAAGUGUUUGCAAGCCAUUGAGCUAUUGGGCUACUCCUUCUCUCUUAGACUUACCCAUAUGUUUGGGCUCAAGAAAUGGGCUCGAGUUUUGGUGCUCCCAAGCAGCCCAAAACUUCCACUUCUUGGCCCAUCAAUGGGCCUCGUGAAUGCUCGUAACCAUCCAUAUCACAACCCGCUCAGCAAGCCUCAAGAAUUUCCGUGGCUUGGGUCCACUUAAGCUUGUAGCAUGGCAUGUUGCUUAAAUAAGGAUUUUUUGCUUGGCGUUGUACUGGGCCGAAAAUAUAUUUGGGCCCAGCCUUGGAUUUUUUGGGCCUCAACAACACCGCUCAUAAUAUGGUCCAUCGAGACCGUCCUGAUCAAGUAAUAAGAGUCUUUAGAAGGCAGAUUGACGUUGCAGUGAAACCAAUUCUUGGGCUUGGGGGUAAUAGUAGAGGAAUUACAGUCGUAGAAAAUGGACACCUCCAUGCAGUGGGGGAUCCAGGAUUCUUGAGCCAAAGGGUCUUAGUGUAAAAGUUUCGAAAUUUUUCCUACAAAGAAAAUAACACUACAAAAAUUGAAAUACGGUGAAGGCUCAAGGCAGUGGUGGUCAGCGCAGGCAGAGAGGUAGUGGUGAGGUUGGGAAGUUGGCACUCCUAGGGUUGUGAGAUAUUAAUUUGGGAAUGAAAUUGUUUGGGGAUGUGCUGUGGAGUAGGGUACAUGAAAGGGGAGGACGAUGAUCAUUUUAUUUUUUAUUUUAAAGCCUGGCUCAAAAUAACAUAAUUUUUAGGCCAAGCCAAUUGAAAAAAAUAGAAUGAGCUAUAUACCAAACGACAUCGUUUGGCCAGGUAAUGCUGGGAAUCAAAAUUGAAAAACCGAUACCGAACCCAAAUCAUGCCAAUCUCGUACCGUGUUGUUCGUGUUGCAUAAUAAAUAGUAUAAUAUAUCAUACCGUUUCUGUUUGACACGACAUCGGUUCCAUAUUUCUCAUUCCGUUUGGUGUUAUAUAGUAUCCAUUUUCUUUAUUUUUUAUUUAUUUUUCAUAUUCUCUCUUUCUUUCUUUUUAUUUAAUGUUUCCUCUUCUUUUUUUUAUAUUCUCUCUCUCUCUCUCUCUCUCUCUCUCUCUCUCUCUCUCUCUCUCUCUCUCUUUCUUUCUUUCUUUCUUUCUUAUUUUCCUUCUUCUCUCUCUCUCUCCCUUUAUUAUUUUCCGUCUUCUCCUCCUUCUUCCUCUCAGGUUCUUUCUUCCCAGCCUACCCCGCCACUCCAUCCCCAUCUAUCUUCACCAUUUUUCCUUUUUCUUUCCCUAUCUUUCUUUCUUCUUCUUUCUCAUUUUUUCUUCUCUUCUCUCCCUCCCCAUCACUUUCUUUCUCUGCAUUACCCAUAGGGGACUUUCACCGAGCACCUUGUGUGCACACAAAGGGUCACUUUGCUGCUGUCCAAGGGGUCGCUCAUGGUGUCAACAACUAUAUUUCCAGCAUCCUAAGGGGUCGUGCGACCCCUCUUGUCCCAACGUGCAUUUGCCACUGACUCCAUGUCGUCGUUCUCAUUGUAGGCGAAGAACUCGGAUUUGAUAGUUGUGUUGGCGAGUUUGUCUGUGCAUGUCGAGUUCCAGAGAUUUGAGCGGACUAACCUUAGAUUUUUGUGAACUGGGUUAAGUUUCGAGAACUCGAUACCUCAGUGACAUGAUGGUUAGCUCGGGCGAGUCGUCCACACAGCUGAUGUGGAACUCCGAUGGACCACAAUAGGAAGGGCGUGCCCCUCCGGUGAUCGGGUAUGAGAGGCCUUGGAGCGAGCCAGUGGCGUAUCCAGGAUUCUUGAGUCAAGGGGUCUUAGUGUAAAAGUUUCAAAAUUUUUCAAAAUAACACUACAAAAAUAGAAAGACGGUGACGGCUCAAGGCGGUGAUGGUCAGCGCUGGCGGAGAGGUAGUGCUGAGGUUGGGAGGUUGGCACUCCUAGGGUUGUGAGAUAUUAAUUUGGGAAUGAAAUUGUUUGGGGAUGUGCUGUGGAGUAGGAUACAUGAAAGGGGAGGAGGAUGAUCUUUUUUAUUUUUUAUUUUAAAGCCUGGCUCAAAAUAACAUAAUUUUUAGGCCAAGCCAACUGAAAAAAAAUGGAAUGAGCCAUAAAACAAAUGACAUCGUUUGGCCAGGUAAUGCUGGGAAUCGAAAUCGAAAAACAGAUACCAAACCCAAAUCAUGCCAAUCUCGUACCAUGUUGUUCGUGUUGCAUAAUAAAUAGUAUAAUAUAUCAUACCGUUUCUGUUUGACACGAUAUCAAUUCCAGAUUUCUCAUUCCGUUUGGUGUUAUAUAGUAUCCAUUUUCUUUAUUUUUUAUUUAUUUUUUAUAUUCUGUCUUUCUUUCCUUUUAUUUAAUGUUUCCUCUUCUUUUUUAUAUUCUCUCUCUCUCUCUCUCUCUCUCUCUCUCUCUCUCUCUCUUUAUUAUUUUCCUUCUUCUCCGUCUUUUCCUCCUUCUUCCUCUCUGGUUCUUUCUUCCCAGCCUCCCCCGCCACUCCAUCGCCAUCUAUCUUCACCCUUUUUCUUUUUCUUUCCCUUUCUUCCUUUCUUCUUCUUCUUCUUAUUUCUCAUUUUUUCUUCUCUUCUCUCCCUCAUCAUCACUUUCUUUCUCUGCAUUACCCAUAUGGGACUUUCACUGAGCACCAUGUGUGAACACAAAUGGUCGCUUUGCUGCCGUCCAAGGGGUCACUCAUGGUGUCAACAACCACAUUUCUAGCAUCCUAAGGGUGCGACUCCUCUUGUCCCAACGUGCGUCUGCCACUGGAGCGGGCCACAGGCGAAAGUCUGGGAGUAGGCGGGAGGGGUUUCCUUAGGCUAUGUUUCCUUAGACGAAAAGGAUGUUGUGGCGUCCAUGUUGUAGAAGAAGAAGAAGAAAAGAAGGAGGGUGAGGAUGGGAGAGAGGAGGAUUGGGUGCACUUUGGACGGGGGUUGGAGUGUUGUGGGCUUGCUGGUAAAUUCCAAUAGAGAUUAAAUAUAGGUUUGAUGAAGAACGCGUUGAUUAACUACAACUUGACUUGUGGUCUUGGACUGUCGGUUGUCUCUGUUCUUUUUAUGUGGUUAUAAACGUAUGAAAUCUUCCCAGUUUUCUUUGACGAGUUAUAUUUAUUAGAGCAUCUGCGUGAGGCUCUCUAAUGGGACAAAAGCUUGCAAUUUAUAUUCAUUAGCAGCAUGAAGGUAAAUAACAAGUUGUCUAAUGUGAAGAAAUUGUUGGAGGAAAAUAGGAAAUAUGAAUUUAAAGAUAAUAAUAUUUCUCAAUAAAAUUGUAAUCAUCAAAUACAAUAACAAAUUUACAUGAAAUUAAUGUAAAUUAAUAAACACAAAUAGAAAAUACUGACAACUUUAGCGGUUGUGGCUUGUAAGAAUUGCAAUGUCUUAAAAACAAAUUUCGCCAUUGCUCUUGUGCUCACAGUUCUAUGGCAUCUAUCUCCCAAGAUUCAACAAUUGAUAAUCCUAAAUUGAAGCACUUCAAUUUAAGACUCUGGCGAAUGAUAAGUGCAUUGUUUCCUAUAUUUGUAUAUCUCUUAUAUUUGAUUUUUGUAGGGAAAAUUAAUUAAAAAUAGGAUUAUUACCUUACUUUCCUUAUUUUCAGCUAUUACGCGCUCUUGGAAGGGUUUUGACUGAAAAUCCACUUUUCGAAUGAAUUUUAGUGCAAGGCCAGGUGGAGAAGAAAGCUAGGACAUUGAGGAUCAUUGUAUCAAAGUUUCAUAAUUUUCUACCAAGCCAAAUGCUCAAGACUAGCAAGUCAACACAACCUAAGUUGAAAUCCCGUUUGAACUGCACUACUAUGGAAGGUUGAAGAUUUGAAGACUUUUCCGAUUUUUUCUAGUGGUGUGUGAUAUAUGCUUGGAAAGCUUAGAGAUGCUUAGAAAACUUAGAGAUCAAGCUAAAGUUCUCAUAUUUGUCUAGGAUUUUCAAGGAAGCAGAAAGUCCCAAAAAUAUGCGUGCCAGUUGGCUGAUGUGCUUCAAAGACAAAGAAUGAUUCUUUCCUAGUUUGUUUCUUUAAUUGUUUGGGAUUUUAUUUUGCUUUUGGAGAGUUUUUCCAUUAGAGUAGGUUUUAGUUGUUUUAAACUAUAUAAGGUCACCCUAAGCUCUCUCUCUAUGGACCAUCUUGAUACCAUAUACUUUUUCACCAUAUUUCAAUACACCCAUAAAUAUAUAUGAGAGAGAGAGAGAGAGAGAGAGAGAGAGAGAGAGAGAGAGAGAGAGAGAGAGAGAGAGAGAACGAAGGUGUUGCUGUGGAGAAUCAGAGAUCAAAUCCAUCUGCCAAAUCGGUUUUAUGACAACAAUUAUUUUGUUUAUCUUCUCUUUUGUCACGAACUAAUUUGCCUUACUAGGGCUACGAUGUAGCCUAACCAUGAAUACUUACUUUUAUAGUUAUAUUAAUUUCUUAUUAUUAUUCCAUGUUGAGCAUUUGUUACUGUUCUUAAUGCUUUGAAUAUCUAGCCAAUAUUUAAUUGAUUUAAUGAUUCAAGAGGAGACCGAGAAGAGAUGUUUGGUGCUUGCUUCUUGUAACAAAUACCAUAUCUUGAAUGAGUGCCCAUGAGGGACACUCAUGCAGUUUUCUUGCAGGUUCUCAUAGAACUUAAUGGCUUCUUAAUUUUCUAAAUUCUUUGCUUUGGGAGAAAAUGGAUUGUUAAUUAAGAAUUCUUUUGAUUAAGCCCUAGAGGGGAUACCAAAUGAAUUAGGAGAAACCAACUGUCAACAUGGGUAGUAAUUAGGGUUAAUUGGCUAUAAGAAUUAAUUGGAAUUGGUAAUACAUUAACAAAAAAUAAAAAAAGGAAUAAUAACAGAGGUAUGUUUUUGCCAAGGCUUUUGGAUUAUCUCUCGCUCGCUAGGAGAGACUAGCAUUAGGGUUAAUGUUUGGAUAUAGGUUAUGCCCUCUGGCCGUCGUAGCUGUUAAAAUUCUUCUCCCAGUGCUUCAUCGUCCUCCCAUGUCACGUUCUUUUCUUUCGUUGAUGUGACCUUUCGAAAUCGUCUUUCUUCGUGGCUGCUUGGAAUUAUGGUGGGCGACUCAUUGCCACUCGUUUUCGGCGAAGACUGUUUGGCUUGGUGGUUAUGUCGUGGUCUCCUAGAAUUCGCAUUUCAUUGGUUCGCAAGUUUUUGGCGGGUCUGUUUGUCGUGGUGGUUAUGUCAUGGUGUUCUUAAGGUUCAUGCUUCGCUGGUGGUCUAGUCCGGUUUUUGCAUUGGUGUGUAGUUCUCGGAUCUUGCGUGGUUGUGUGGCUUUGUGGGUUUGCAGCAUUCAUGGUGACUUGGUGGUGAGGGUUAUGAUAGAGAUUUUGCAAGGUACUAGUUCUACCCGCUGGGAGUUUAUUAGUGGUUGGCUUUUAUGGGUUCUUGGAUCAAAUGGAUCUGGUGUGUUCUAGGGUCCUCAAUGCUUCGGUUGCAAUCUUUGUCCCAAUCUCUUCAGGUACUUUUGUAGUAGGGAUUUGGGAUCCAGGUAGUGAUAGAUGUAACACCCCGACUCCAAAUUUAAUCUCUUAUUUAAAUUAUUUAAGUGAAAUUACAAAUUUACCCUUGGAGUAGGCGUAUUUUGGUUAUUUUCUUACCCGAAAGGAGUUUGGCGCAGUGACUAGUAUUUUUGGGAAGGUCGUACUGAGAUGAGUCCGUAGACACAUAGUGGGCUCGAUUCGGAGUUGAAACGAAGAAGUUAUGAGCAAAACAAGUUCAGUGGCAAAAUCGUAAAUAUUUUGAAAUAGGAUUUUUUAUAAAAAUCAAAUUCUCUCUCUCUCUCUCUCUCUCUCUCUCUCUCUCUCUCUCUCCCUGCGCGCAGAAACAGCCCCCUGUUACUGUUUAGCGCGGUGGUUUUUGGGCCACCAUCGUCGCAUCCGGCCACCGCUUGGGGUGGCACCGAUCCCAAAAGAACCGUGCCAUCUUCCUCUUCCCAUCCCGACCAAUCUCAGCCACUGGAACCACCUGUGCUCGCCGAAAAAUGCAAAAAUCCGACCGGUUUUAACCCAAAAUUCAAGGAGCUCGAUCUCUCUCAUCCGGCCACCGAUUCAGACGAGUAAGGUAUGGAUUUCUACAUAUUUUCCAUGCUCUAGCUGAUGGUUGGGUAGGAUUGCAUCGAUUUUGAGCGUAGGUAAUUUGAUUUACGAAUUGAAAUUCGGCCAGUUUUGGGAUCUCGAUUCUGGCCACUUCCGGUCAGUUUUUGGGGUAGGUCCAAGAACAAAAGUGGCUCCAAAUAGGGUGUUAUACCUAGGGUAAAAGUUUGGAGCUGUGGUUUUGAGAUUCUCCGACGAUGCGUAAUCGCUUUGGGCACCCAGCACUACCGGCGCGUGUGGCGGCUCAUGGGCGAGGGUAGUGAAGUUGUACUGUGUCUCCAUGAGAUCCUGAGGUUGUCACGAGUGCAUAGGAUUUCGCGGAUCUCAAUUCGGACGCUGUUUGACUAUCGAACGGAUAUCACCUAUUGCGCGUUAUCCGGGUUCGAUAGGUUAGGACUGUUGGAUGGUCUCAAAUUUAACAUAUGUUAAUCUAGGUAUUUCUAGGAUCGUGUAGGAAUUUACGGAUCGUGAAUCGGAGCCCCGGAUGUUCCGAUUUAAUAAUUUGAAGUUUAUGUUUUAUAUUAACCGUCAGAUCGUAUGAUCGUGAGCAAUCUGACCGUCCGAUCUGAACUAAACUUGGAAGACGAGUGUCAUAUACCUUGCAGAACCCAUAGGAUCUUUUUGAUCGAAAUUUGGAGGUCGUGGGCCCCAUGGGCCCGUUUGACCCUUGGUUGACCGUGAGUCUCUCGGAGUAAUCUCACCUUUCCAGGGGGAUUAUCGAGUGCUAGACUAUUGUUGAGAUUUACACAAUAUUAGAAGUAAAUUAUAUAUUUAUAUACAUUUCUAAAGGUAUAAAAGGAGUCUAGAAUGUCAGUUUGAAGUGCUAUACGCACUACCUUAGGUACCUCCCCGGAUUUUGGUUACACUACAAGUACCACAAUGUGAAUGUUAGGUCCUACGUGGCGUAGGUUAUCCAGCGUGCGGACAGGCCCCAUACGUGAUGUUGGUUGUACCGGCGUAUGAGGAGAUCUUGUGAUAUUAUGGUGAGGUCGCACGUGGCGUAGGUUAUCCGGCGUAUGGAUAUGAUGUUCAGGUCUCGCGUGACGUAGGUUAUCCGGCGUUAAGACAGGCCCCAUACGUGGCGUUGGUUGUACCGGCGUAUGGGGAGAUAUUGUGAUAGUAUGGUAUGGUCGCACGUGGCGUAGGUUAUCCGGCGUGUUGACAGACCCCAUACGUGGCGUUGGUUGUACCAGCGUAUGGGGAGAUUAUGUGAAAUACAGAGCAAUGAAAUAAGGUAUUGCCUAUAUGUGGAAUUGGAUUUUAAGGAAGAACUACGUGUGGCUUGAUCCCUCAGUGAGGGUACGUAGGCAGCCUAAGGUUAUUAGGUGCAGCCGCGGACAUAGAUAUGAUUGUGUUAUGAGGUUAAAACCUCGUAUGUUGAAAUUAAAAAAGUUAGAUGAUGUAUGUUGAAAUUUAGUAGUCAUAAUUUAUAUUUGAAUUUAUCGUUUGCCUUAUUUAAGGCAUGAAUCGAUUUGCUAGCAUGCUUGGUAGUUGAGAAUUAUUGGAAGGCCGAAGGCCGUUUAUGUGAAUUGCAUGAAAUUAUAUUGUGCGUGUUGCCAGUUGUGGAUAUUAAAUGUGUUUUUAUGCAGGUUGUAAUUUUGGAUAAUGUUCAAUUUACAGGGGAGACUCUGCCGAAAUUUCGGCAGAAAGUCUCGUACCCUUAUUCCAUUUUGGGAAAAAGGGUAUAACUUUAGAAGUGGGCCCGACAUCGGGGUGAUGUCUGGAAUUUCCACAAGAUUCACCUCGGGUUUUGGGAAAUUUGGGGCGGGUCCUUUCAAUGGAGCCUUUACUGUUGUUGAGCCAUAUUUCGCUGAGUUUACUUAAUAUGUGAUGGAGGCCAACCUCAUGGGCUCUCCCAAUUCUCCCAAUGUGUUCACUGGAACGUUUGUGGGUUUGGCAUCCAAUAAACGUUCUUAUUAUGAUGCUCUUUUGUUGGAAGUUCGCACUAAGAGGCUAAUCUUAAUCACCCCUGCUCUGUCGGUUAUGGUUCUAGAUUAAGACAAGUGAAGUUGGUAUUGGUAUUUCUGCUCGCUAUAUUCUAAUGAUCACCAUAUGUUGUUCUGUACAUCGAACUAUGCGUGCAUAAGAGUUUUCCUUUGAUAGUACUACAUUGUGGUAGGUUGUUCUUUGCUGGGCUUGGAGUUAUGCUUUGUUUUGUCUGUCUUCUUUCGGGUUCUUUGUAGACUCAUGUAGUUGGUAUUGGUACUUAUGCUCGCUAUGUUCUGACGAUCACUACACAUUGUUCUGUAUAUUGAACUAUGCUUGCAUAUGAGUUUUUCUUUUACAGUCUUACGUUGUAGUAGGUUGUUCUUUGCGGGGCUUGGAAUUGCGCUUUGUUUUUUUGUCUGUUUUCUUUUGGGUUCUUUGUAGCAGUCCAAAGUGGCCUGUUGCAGACUCUUGUGUGGUACUCUUUCAUACCUUGGGGUUUGUCCCAUGUGAUUUUCCUACGAAGAUUUUAAUGAAGCCAGUAUAUUCGUGCCGGUCUUUAUACGCUUUUUUGGCCUAUAAAUGAAAUCCUAUUCUCAAAAGGAGAGGUAUGUCUUGAACGAAAAAUUGUGAUGGAAAAUUGGAAUGAGAAGAUUUUAUGAUUUUAUAUAUCAGAUUCCAUAUAAAUAGAUUCCAUAGUUGCAAGGAUGGAUGUGGGUGAAAAGCUACUAGUAUAAGAUUCCUAUAAGAAAAAUAUAGAUAAAAAACAUGUGAUGGCCGAAUGGAAAAGCGCACUUAGUUGACGUGCAGUUGAGAUGUAGACUAUUUUUCCGUAUUUUUGGUCGGGUUAUAGCCCUAGUUAGAUGGGCCUAGGUCCGUGGUUGACUAAACCAUUCAGAAUAGGAGGAUUAGAAGAGAAAGGUCUGAUGAAUCUAACUUUAUUAGAUUGCCCUCUCUCUUUCGUAUCCCUCUAUUAGACAAUUGUUUAUGCAUUUAUAAAUGAAAUAGUUGCUAUAAACAAUAAAAUUACACUUGGGAAUUGAUAAUCGGUAAAGAUUUGUGUUGAUAAUCUGUAAAGAUUGGUAUUGAUAAUCUGUCAGAGAUUGAAGUACAAGGGGCUGCAUCUUUUUUUAGGCUAAAGUCGGAGUGAUCUAGGGGACAAAGAAGAGGUGAAACACAAGCAUUACAAUUAGGGAAGAGGUCCUGAUAAAGGUAUUAUUCUAUGUAUAUUUGUUUUUCCUCUAUCAAUAUUGUAAUGCUAAGUCUUGAAGCCCUUGAUAUAUUCAACGAAUGAGAUUUUAGUCUUUCAUUCACAGUAUAGUUUAGUUGUUCCAAUUUAUAUAUAUGUGCGUGUGCAGAUUGUCUGGCCAUAAUGAGGUUACUUCAAUGAGCAUAUUGACGCCUAAAUGAGUGACACGUGACUAUAAAGUCAGUUGUUAGUUGGUUCAGCUGAAAAGAAAAACUUGGUACUAACUGUGGUUCGUGAUACUCUUCGAAGCGAAUGAAUAAGAAGAAUGAAUCACAACGGCCAUCUUCGUUAAUCAGAGACUCUCUAUUACUUAAAACACCAAAAGUACUGUAGCAGUUGCUGAAAACAGAGAAAUCAUGAAAACAGUUUUUUCACUCUCAGUUUUCAGAUAAUGAUAACUGUUUCAUUUUAUCCAAACCAACUUUUUAACAAUUCAGCAGGCAUUUCCUAUUUAACAGAUAUCUGCAGCUAUUGUAGGAGAAAACAAGAAAGGCUUGGGUGCAAUUUGCAAGGAAUGAAGGGGUCCUUCCAACAUCUCUACAACUUUGCUCAUUGAUGGCCGAUCAGAAGGAUAGUCUGAAUGCACCACAGACUUAUUAAUACCAUCUUUCUUGCUAUUACUUUUUCCUCCUCAUAUAUAGCCCCAAAUGCAUUUUCAUCCUUUUCUAGGUCUAGAUCUUUAUAAACAUAAUGUGGAAACAUUUCAUUCGUACGAGACACUCCCGAAUCCAAAUUCUUUCUUGCUCCAACCAUUUCAAGAACUAACAUACCGCAGCUGUAAACAUCAGAUUUGUGAGAUACUCCACCAAAGUUCCGGCUAAACACUUCUGGUGCAAUGUAUCCUGCAAUUCCUCUUGUCCCCAUCAUCGAUACAAUACUGUCCUUUGUUUUGCAUGGUUUGGCUAGGCCAAAAUCAGCAACUUUAGGGCAAAAAUGUUUGUCUAAAAGAAUGUUCUGUGGCUUUAUGUCAAAAUGCAAAAUUCUUGUGUUACAUCCACGGUGGAGGUAUUAUAGUCCUCUCGCAAUACCAACUGCAAUUUCAGAUAGUGUUUUCAAUUCUAAGGGAAAAUUUGCCAUUCCAGAUCUGUGCUUAUGUAUGAAAUUAUCCAGAGAUCCAUUAGGCAUGUAUUCAUAAAUCAAAGCUCGUUUGUCCCCAUCGUAACAGAAUCCAGAAAGAGUGACUAUGUUGAAAUGGGAGGUUCUACCAAUGCUAGCAACUUCAUUAAUAAAAUGUUCUCCUCCAUUACCCUUGGACAUGCUUAGGACUUUGACCACCACCAGAAGCUCAUCAGGUAGCCUGCCUUUGUACACAGUUCCAUAUCCACCUUUACCUAUUUUGUCCCUGAAAGAGUCUGUCAUUUUCUUGACAUUUGCAUAAGUAUACCGCUUUGGAGUAAGCGAUCCAUAGUUCCUUAUAAAUGCCUCAACAUCAAACUCAUCCCUCUUAUCUCUCUUGAGGAAGGCCAUUAUUCUUUUCCUUGAUAUGCAUAUAGUAAAAAAAAAUGAUUAUGAUAAUCGACGGAACAGCAACCCCAAUGCCUAUAUGGAAAAAGUAAUGCAUUUCAGUGACUUGUGAAAGAAAGCAAAGAUCGAAACUUCCGGUAUUUUCAAUUGAUCAAAUAUGCUCACCUAUGGCCAAUUCUUUCCGCUACCUUGGUAUAUCAUGCGCUUCUUCAACUGCAUCAGUCAUUUUCUCUUCUUUUCAUUGGACAAAUUGAAAUAGAAGUUGCAACCACUCUAAAGCAUGCUAGAAUUGAAGAUUAUAUCGUGAACACAAAAAUGAAAAUCAAAUGGUUAUCAAACCAACCCUAAGUUUAUCACAUGUCCCACCUCAUUGUCUUAAAGAUUGUGGCUGUCCUAAAGCUCGAUGAGUGGGUGUUGAGGUCUGGACUCAAUCGCUUUUUCUUGGUUUGUAAUGUCCAUUAGGACACAAUUUCAUGAGCAGUAAAGAUUACAAUUUCAAUCCGAUCAUUCUUGUAAUAGUCUAUUUGUUUAGUUUUUGAAUUGCACAAGUGAAAUAUUGAAGCCCUUAUUAAUCAAGGUAUAGAAAAGAACUAAUUUAAGCCAGUUCGCCACUGGGAGAGUACAAUGGCUUGAUUAGAAGUUAGAAUUUCUUAAGGUGCAAGACACCAGUACCAACACCAUGUUCGAUUCAGCCAUUUUCUAUUGGGCUUUUCGAGUACGAAUGGUGGCACGUCUAUAACACACUCCGAGAUGAUUGAAGGCCAGUUUGAGGCCCAUUUGUCUUGGAUAACAAUAACUGAGGGUGGAAGUCCAGGCUAACACUUUUGGGGUACACCAAUGUUUUACAAAUAUUUGAGCAUUAAAACGAUGCGCUGCAAUUGAGGUAGUUCUGAUCAUCACCGGCACAAAAAGAUAUUAGGAAGUACUUAAAGUUUGGAAAAGGAGAACAUAUGAAGGUGCAAAUUAUGUUCUGCAAAUUAUGAAGGAUCAGCGGGACGGAUUAGGUGGACUAAAUAGUUAAAGUCGACUUACUGGUCAGCUUUUUAUGUAUAUUCCUUCAGUAUAAGAUUUUCUGUUGUUUGAUUAAAGUGCCAGUCAAUGAAAAUUUUGGUGAUCUCUGAAACGCCUAUUUACAGAAUAUACAGGUUAUUUUUUGCCAGGAAACAUGGAAUUAUCUAGAAAUUUGUCAAGCUUUCAAUUUAUGCAGCUAAAGCUCUGCCUCACAGACCUUUUACUCUUCAUCAAGGCCAAUAUCCCACAAGUGUAAUUUAGCAGAGAACAGUAGUUAGUGUUAACAAAAGUUGGAGGACAGACAGUUUCCCAACAGUCCUGCCAACAACUGUACCUCAAGCCCUCUUCAAUAGGAAUCCGGAUUUUGAAGUCAAGUGAGAGCCACAAAAAGUGUUGACUGGCACCAUCAAGAUUUCCAAUUCGAAUCAUGUGCCAAAGGAUCAAAAUGAUCAAAACACGAACACAAUCUUAAGGGUUAAAGUUCAAUUGGUUUACAAAAUUUUCUAUCCAAAAUGUUCAUUUGCUGAAUUCGUAGCAACUGUUGAAACUUUGGAUUUCUAAGGGAGCUAAGAAGGUACUGAGAGAGAGAGAGCUGAGAAGCAAAGAUUGUAAUAACAAAAAUGCUUACUCUGCAUAACCGUUGCAGCAGAGCCUAUAUUCCCUCAUGACAAUAGCAUGUUCUCUUACAUCAGCCAAUUCAAAAUCUAACCAUUUGUAAAAGUAAGCCAAUGUGAAUAUGACACAUGGCAAUACACAGCUUUUAGGACAGCUAGGAAUAGAAACUGACUCAAGCAUUGCACCUGGCAUAUAAGCUCAAGGUGCUCAGCUAACACAAGGCUUAAAACAGAUUAAAUAUAAGCUGACUUAGAGCUUACUAACUAAUCUGAAAUUAGCUAGGCAGUUUACAUUUUAACACUCCCUUCUAAAGUGCUAGCUGAUUUCACUCCAAGCAUUCUCCUCAAAUAGCCGAACCUGUCUUUGGGAAGUGCUUUGGUGAAGAUAUCAGCAAUCUGCUCUUCUCCCUUGCAGUAGAGCAGUUCAAUCACUUCUUCCUGUAUUGCUUAUCUAAUAAAAUGAAACUUCCUUUUAAUGUGCUUGCUCCGUUGAUGAAAAACUGGAUUUUUAGCCAUUGCUAUGGCUGAAGUGUUGUCACAAAACACAGUUGUUGCAGUGGUCUGUUCUUCCCCAAAAUCUUCAAGAACAAACCUGAGCCAAAUGGCUUGUGAUGUAGCUUCUGCUGCACUCACAUACUCUGCCUCUGCAGUAGAAAGAGCCACACUGUGUUGUUUGACUGAUGCCCACGAAAAAAACACCACUUCCAAAUGAAAACGCAUAUCCAGAAGUGAUUUUCAUAUCUUUCUCAGAUCCACUCCAGUCACUGUCACAGUAACCUACUAAGAGUGCAGAUUUUCCAGUCACAUACUCAAUUCCAUAAUCAAUCGUGCCUUGUAUGUACCUUAGAACCCUUUUAGCUACCCCAUAGUGCAUCUUAGAAGGGUUGUGCAUGAAUCUUGCAAGUAGGCUGGCAGAGAACAUGAUAUCUGGCCUGGUUGCAGUGAGAUACAGCAGGCUACCUACAAUUUUUCUGAACAAACUUUCAUCUGCAGCUUCACUUCCAUCCUCUCUUUUCAAUUUAUCAGUAGCCACUAAUGGAGUGCUUACUGACUUGCAGUCUUUGAUUCCAAACUUAUCCAAGAGAGUGAGUGCAUACUUCUUUUGGUGAAUGAAGAUGCUCCCUUCAGUUUGUGUUACUCCCAUACCAAGAAAAUGGUGGAGUAAACCCAAGUCAGACAUCUCAUACUUGCACAUCAUUUCAGCUUUGAAUUCUUUCACCAUUUCAUCACUACUUCCUGUAUACACUAUGUCAUCUACAUAGAUUGACACUAUUAGUGUUCCCACACCUUCCUUGGUUCUCACAUAGAGAGUUGCUUCCCUUGGACUUUUGUGAAAACCACACUGAUUCAAGUAGGUGUCGAUUUCACUAUACCAGGCCCUUGGAGCUUGCUUCAACCCAUAGAGAGCUUUUCUUAACCUAUACACUUUAUCCUCAUCACCUUUAACCACAAAACCAUCCGAUUGAUCAACAUAAACUUCUUCUUCAAGGACACCAUUUAAGAAGGCUGAUUUGACAUCCAACUGCCAUAGUUUCCAGCCUUUCUAUGCAGCAAGAGCUAUGAGGGUUCUAAUGGUGUCUAACCUUGCCACCGGAGCAAAGGUUUCAUUGAAAUCAAUCCCUGGUUUUUGUGUGUAUCCCUUGGCAACAAGCCUUGUUUUAUGUUUUUGAAUGGAGCCAUCAAGAUUGAGCUUAGUUUUGAAUAUCCACUUCACUCCCACAAUUGGUUUACUACUUGGCCUAUCAACCAAUUCCCAAGUGGAGUUUUUCUCUAUCAUAAGUAUCUCCUCAGUCAUAGCCUUCCUCCAAGCUUCAUCUUUGACUGCUUCUUCAAAAUUUUCAGGUUCAAUGAUGCUCAUCUUGCAUUGAGCAUACACUUCACUCAAACUCUUCCAUUUCUUUGGGGUGUUAUCAUAAGUUUCAAGUAGAGCUGAAUCUUGAGUAGCAUGCAAAUCACUACAUGUUUGUGUUUCCAUAGGAGACUGCACAAUCUGUUGCUGUAACAGAUUUGGUUCUGAAUCCAAAUCCGAUACUGUUGAACUUGUUUCAUCACCCCAAGACAUAGGAAUUUGCAAUGCCUCAUUUGUUUCCCAAUUCCACAUUGCUUCUUCAUCAAAAAUAACACUCCUAGACAGCUCAAUCUUUUGAGUUCUCAAUCUAUACCCCUUUUCACAUACUCCAUAUCCUACAAAUACUCCCUUCUCACCUGUUUCUUCCAGCUUGUGCCUUUUCUGUGUGGGGAUGUGAAUAUAGCAUAGAGAACCAAAUAUUGUCAAAUGCUUGACACCUGGUUUUCUUCCACUAAACUUCUCAAAUGGAGUGGAAUUGUCCAGUGCACUUGUAGGGCUUCUAUUUUGUAGAUAUACCGCUGUAUUGACAGCUUCUGCCCAAAACUUCAAAGGGAUUUUCUUCUCAUGCAUCAUGGCUCUUGCCAUUUCCAUCACAGUACGAUUCUUUCUCUCUGCAACUCCAUUCUGUUGUGGAGAGUAGGCUACUGUCAGUUGCCUUUCUAAUCCCACCUCUUCACAAAACUUUGAAAAAUCCAAAGAUGUAUAUUCUCCACCUCUAUCACUUCUUAGCUUCUUAAUUUGAUAAUCACUUUGUAGCUCAACCAUGCUUUUGAACCUUUUGAAUAUGUUGAAUGCUUGAGACUUAUGCUGCAAGAAGAACACCCAACACAUUCUAGUGUGGUCAUCAAUGAAGGUGAGGAAAUAUCUAUUACCUCCAAGAGUGAUGGUCUGCAUUGGACCACAUAUAUCUGAGUGAAUCAGUUCUAGUGGUUGAGAGGCUCUCCAAGCUCUUUCCUUAUCAAAUGAACUUUUGUGAUUCUUGCUUACAGCACAACCCGAGCAAACCUUCUCAUAUUCUUGUAGAUUAGGCAGUCCCUGAACCAUAUCUUUCUCUUGUAACAGCUUCAAACUAAUAUAGUUUAGGUGCCCAAAUCUUCUGUGCCACAGCCAGGAUGUUUCUCCAAAUGUUGCUCUAUUUGCCAUAGGAGGAUUGACAUAGUCUAGAUUUAAAGGAAAACAUCUGUUUCCCUUCAUUGGCACUCUUGCAAUGCAAUCUUCCAGCUGCCUAUCUCCAUAAAUAUCAACUGCAUUAUCACCAAAUACAAGCCAAUGUCCAUGUUCUAUCAUUUGACCUACACUUAGCAAAUUUUCAUCCAAACCCAGUACAAUCAUGACUUCUUUGAUAUAUCUAGUCACACCCUUCAUUUCUAUAGCCAAAGUCCCUUUGCCUAUUGACUGCACUAGAUCACCAGUCCCCAUUUUGACUUUACACUUCACACUUUUAUCAACAUUUACAAGUAAGGACUCAUGGGAAGUCAUGUGAUUGCUACAUGCACUAUCAACAUACCACAUAUUCACAUUCUUUCCAAUUGUUGCAGCAUGACAUGCAUAGAACAUAAUGGCAGGUUAUGUUACCUGAUUUGCAAUGUUAGCAAGUUUCCCUGCCUUGUUUUCUUGGUCACAGUCCUUGACAAAAUGACCAAAUCGAUUGCAGCCAUGACACUUUGGUUUUCCUUUAAACCAACACUCAUCAUAGUGUAGCUUUUCACAAUAUUUGCAUUUUCCAGAUUUGUCUCCUUGACUCUGUUUUCCCCCUUGAUUGGCAUAGUUUUGAGGUUUAGAAUCCCAUUUCUUAUCCUUGGACUUCCAGUUCUUCUUUGAUUUAUUAGUGCCAGGACUAGAACUUGACUGAGAUCCUUUUGAGUUUAUGCUCAUGCUGCUGAAAGCUUUCUCGGUGGUGCUUUCAGCAUGUCUGUCAAGACGCUGAGCAAAUCCUCUUAAUGCUGCAAUUACCUCCUGCACUUCAAUGGUUUCAAUGUCCCUAGUUUGCUCAAUCACAUAGCAGACCGGAUCAAACUCCUUGGUUAAGCUUAUUAGCAGUUUUUGAACUAUCCUCCCUUUGGUCAGAUCUUCCCCAUAUCCCUUCAUCUGAUUUACAAGCUCAAGUAGCCGAGUGAUGUACCCAGACAAGAUCUCAUUAUCCCUCAUCCUGGUGUACUCGAAAUCACGACGCAGACCCUGCAACUUGAUGGAUCUGACUUGCUUAUCACCAUGAAACUCCUGAUGCAAAAUAUCCCAAGCACCUUUUGAGGUUUCUUCAUUUGAGAUUUUGGGGAAAAUGUCAUCUGAAACAGCACCUUGGAUAAUACCAAGGGCCUUAGCAUCCUUCAUUAACAAAGACACAUUCUCUGACUCCGAUGACCCUUCUUCAUCAACCUUCUUCCCCUUUGAAUCUGGAUAUUGAAGACCUUUCUCAACUAAAUCCCAUAUUCUAUGAGAUUUGAAAAUUGUUCUCAUUCGAAUCUUCCAAAACUCAUAGUUUUCCCCAUUGAAUAUUGGAGCUCUAAGAUCACUCCCUCCUGACCCAGCCAUCUGAGACCAGAAUCAAUGAGCUGAGAGUCAGAAAUUUCUCGUCGGAUUUCCAGACUCAGCUCACACAGCUUCAACGCCCACUAUCCAGAUCCAACCUGGCUCUGAUACCAUGUUGAAACUUUGGAUUUCUAAGGGAGCUAAGAAGGUACUGAGAGAGAGAGAGAGAGUUGAGAAGCAAAGAUUGUAAUAACAAAAAUGCUUACUCUGCAUAACCGUUGCAGCAGAGCCUAUAUUCCCUCAUGACAAUAGCAUGUUCUCUUACAUCAGCCAAUUCAAAAUCUAACCGUUUGUAAAAGUAAGCCAAUGUGAAUAUGACACAUGGCAAUACACAGCUUUUAGGACAGCUAGGAAUAGAAACUGACUCAAGCAUUGCACCUGGCAUAUAAGCUCAAGGUGCUCAGCUAACACAAGGCUUAAAACAGAUUAAAUAUAAGCUGACUUAGAGCUUACUAACUAAUCUGAAAUUAGCUAGGCAGUUUACAUUUUAACAGCAACAUGAUCUCUUUUCUUGUAUAUGUCAAGUUCAGUAGUUUGCACACAAUUCCCGAUUUCCGACCCGGGUUUUAAACAGACGAGCCUAAUGACACACCUAGGUAGCUAUCUAGGAUGUUAAGAAAAACUGUCGAUGCCACCAAUCCUGGAAUUCAAUUCUGUAAUUUGUAAGAGAAUGACCAGGGACAAACAUACCUUUCGCAUUACAUGUGGUUGCAUAGGGCUCAUCCAGGCAAAAGCAAAAUCCACGACUUGUCGUGUUAAGCCCACACUUCCCUCCUGAUUCCACACAACUUUUGCAUUGAACAUUAUCAAUCUGCAAUCCCAAUUCAAAGCCCCUACCUACCACUUCCUUGAUAGUUAUUCGAUCGGCCUUCAGAGCCAGAGCAGCUGUCGUAAAAACCGGAACACUGACCCCAGUUUUACAGGCGCGGGUAGCAACUGGAUCAACUGGGGGACUUCGCAUGGCAUACCUAACAGUUGUGUUGUUUGUAUUGCAAGCUUGGGAACUAGAGUUAAGCCCCGGGAUAUUACUUGUAUUGCACGCGUAGUAAAAGGUCAGGUUUGUAAGCCCAGAAGUAUAAUCAAACAGAGAGAAGUUGAUGUUGGUGGUGACAUAAGUCUUAGGACCUAGCAACCGUAACAGAAGGAGCACUAGAGUCCGUUCUAAGAAUUCUAUAGUUGAUACUCGAUAUGUUGAUCAUUGUGGCAUUGUCUACACAUUUGACCUCGAACCCCGGCAGACCACAGUAAUUAGCCCGGUUUACUCCCCAAAAGGGGUAUGAGAUGUUUCUGAAGCCACCGCAGUUAAUAUCUUCGCCGCAGUUUGUAUAUUGUUCAUUGUCCUGGCUUAGACUUAACUCAACGUUGAUCGAAAGAAAGGAAGUGAUCAAUAGCAAGGGAAACAACGAUUGAAGCAGAAGGGUAUGCAUGUUUUCUGGGAAAGCUCAGAGUAAGAGAAACCAAUACAAGUUUAAAAAUAGAAGAAGGGAAGCACAGGAUUACAUAUUUUUUGGGACAUAGAAGACUUGAAAUAUUGAAUGAAUGGUACAUAGAAGACUUUCACAUUAUGACAGAUAUAAUAAUAUAAUUUUUGGCUACUGAACGAGUCCCAAGCCCAAUAAAAGAAAACCUACAAAAGGACAAAUUUAUAAGACUUAUAGGUGAGUUUUCUUUCUGUUUAUGAGACUCUUUUUUUGUUUGAUAAAAGUGCCAGUCAAUGGAAAUUUAGAUGACCAUUAAAACACGUCUAUUCAGAAAAUGAUACUAAAAUAUCAAAAUAUUCUGGAUUGUUUCCCUAUAAAUACCUAAUAAUUUUAUUCACUUUCCACACUAAAUCUUGAUACAAUUUCUUCUCAUUCAAUAUUUUUUACUCUCCACUCACAUUAUUCACUUUCCACACCAAUUCUUCAUACAAUUUCUUCUCUUUCCAAUAUUCUUUACUCUCCACUCACAUUUUUCUACUACUUUCCAUUUGUAUCAAAAAACACAUGGCAUCUUCUGUCGAAGCCGGAGGCGUGUAGACAACUCAGGAAGAUAUUGCGUUGUGUCAGUCUUGGGUGAUCAUUAGUCAUUGCCCUGUCUCGGGCAAUGAGAUGAAGUUCCCUCAUACGUAGAGCAAAAUUCAUGGAGAAUUUUGUCAAAGAUCGGGUUCUAUUCAGAUCGAAAUGGCCUUGUCUAGUAGAUGAAAAAUUCUGAAUAAAAAGUUAGGGAAAUGGAGAAAUGCCUUGACAAGAGCAAGGGAGAACAUUCGAAGCGGUCAAAAUCUAUCCGAUGAGGUAAAAUAUUUAUAAUUGUCAUUUUAAUCAAUUUAAUGUAACUUUUUUUUUUUAUUGCAUAUUCUAUUUCUUUUUCUUGCAUAAUCUUUUUUUUUCUUUUUGCAUUUUCAAUUUGUGUAUAUUUUCUUGCAUAAUCAAUUUUAUUCUUGCAUUUCAAAAUAGUUUAUAUUUUCUUGCAUAAUCUUUUUUUUUUCUUGCACUUCCAAUUAUUUAUUUUUAACAGAUUAUUCAAGCACAACUUUGGUUCUGUGCCAUGGGGCAAGGCAAAAAAAUUUUCUUGCAUUUCCAAUGUUAAGAAGUUGUGAAAGAUUGUUCGAGAUUCAACAUUAUUCCCACAGUUCCGCCGGUGUAAAUCAGAACCGCAUCAAGAUGCUUUAGUGGAUAAAAAUUAAAAGAUCUGUCACAGUAGAGAUUUAGAACCUGAAGAAUAGCGUAAGUUAUAGUUCCAACGCUGGAAGAAAAUCCUGAAGUAGAUACAGAAAGGAACAUUAAAGUUGUAGAUACUGAAAACAUAGAUUGUAGUUGACAGGACCCGAUCCCAAUUCCACUUUGGAAUUCGAUCAAAUGACCUUUUUACCCUUCCUGUUACAAUUACUAUUAAACUUCCCUUAGACUCCUGCUGAAAAUUCGGCAGAGUCUCCCCUGUAUUUUGUCUAAACCCAAAAAAAAUCUUCCACCUGUUAAACAAGCAAAUAAUUUUCCACCAACUGCCAGAAUAAAAUAACCAAGCAUUUACUAGAUUGGCCAUCGGAGAUCGUGGACCCCACGGGGUUCCGGAUCGGCCGAUCUGGCAGUUGAUCGCUUAGUAAAGCUUUGGGUCUUUCAAGGCCGUUCUAAUUGUCUGAAAGGCUAAAGUGGGCAUAGGAGUGACUUUAAAAUGAGUACACGCAUUUCUAGGAGCCUGGGGCAGGGUGUUUAAUUUAAUUCUUUUAUUGAGCAGUUUUAUUAAUUUAAUCUUUAUGGGUAAUCAGGCACCAGAGGACUGGCAGAACCACAGGAGGGACCUUCAAAGAGUCCAGCUAGCUCGGACCAGCAGUGAGUGGACUUUCUUUCAUAAAUGAUUUUAUAUAAAUGAGUUAUAUAAAUGCUUUAUAUAAAUGAGUUUACAUAAAUGAUUUUAUAUUGAUUCUAUAUAAAUAAGUUUUUAUAAAUGAGUUUAUAUGAGUAAAUUUCAUUAUUUGAUUUUGAAUAAGUUUUACCGAAUGUUUUCCGAGCAUGAUUUGUGCCGUAAAAUAUCUUUAUUUCUAUGCUGCUUAGUUGAACAUGGUAGAAAGUGACAGAAAGCAGAGUUGAGAUUUAUAUCAAAGAAAAUAGCAGCUUAGUUUCAGACUUGCCAAAUACAGUGAAUUAUCAGAUUUUUCUAAAUUAGAACCACCAUGUACCUGCUUGUUUUUAGUGAUUACCCUCAGACGGACCGAUGUCUACGGACAUCCAGUCUGUUUACAGUUCUGUCAGUGCACUUGACAUUGCCUCACGAGUUUCGGGGAUGCUCGGACCGUGAGUGCCAGGAUUUGCGACUCGACUGACUCUGUGUCCCUGAGACCUGCCAGGAUUUGUGCUCGGCUGACUCUGUGUCCCCGAGACCUGCCAGGAUUGCAGAUCAGGCUGACUACGGUCCCCUGUAUCUUGCCAGAGCGGCUCGAGUCGACUUGGUGUCAUCGAGACCUGCCGGCGGAUCAGGCUGACCAUAGUCCCCUGAAUCAUGCCAGUUUGCGGCUCGGGUAGACUUUGUGUCGCCGAGACUUGCCAGGGGAUUUGACGGAUUUUACAAGAGAUCCGCGAAAUCCUACGCGCUCGUGACAACAUAAGGAUCGCAACAAGACACAGUGCCACUGCACCACCCUCGCCCAUGCACCCCAGCACGCGCCGGCAGUGAUGGGUGUCUAAAGCGAUUUUGGCUCGCCGGAAAAACUUCAAACCACGGCUCCAAACUCUUACCCUAGGUAAAACAUCAUAUUUGGAGCCACUUUUGUUCUUGGACCUACCCCAAAAAGUGACUGGAAGUGGCCAAAAACAGAGGCCGAAAAUCGGCUGAAACUUCAAGUUUAAAAAUCCGAUGGCUACACCACAAAUCGAUCUAAUCCGACCCAACAGGCAGCUAGAACAGCUCGAGAGAUUCAAGAUCCAUACCUGGGUCGACGGAAAUGGUGGCCGGAGGAGGGAGAUCGGAGGCCUUGAAGUUUCGGUGAGUUCCCGUCGUUCUUUCGCAGUUUCCGGCCAGCACAGGUCGUCGGCGGGCAGGGGAUCGGUCGGGAAAGGUAGGGGACUCGACGGCGGUUCCAUCGCCACCUGUCCCGUGGCCGGUGGUGCCCAGAGGCGGCGCCAGCAAGCGCUGGAAGGCGGCAGCCCGUUUUUUUUUUUUUUUUUCCGCGAGAGAGAGAGAGAGGCUGGCUGGUUUAUAGAUCCAACUUCGAGAUAUUUACGGUUAUACCACUGAGACUCUUUUGACCAUAACUCCUUCGUUACAACUCCGAUUCGGGCUCACUACGUGUCUACAAACUCGUUUCGCCGUGAUCUACGCAAUGGCGCAAGCAGAAUUGUCAAAUUCCUUCUUGAUCAAAAGUCACCUUUUUCUUAAUAAAAUAUUACGAGGGCAAAAUUGUCUUUUCGCAAAAUAAAAUAUUCCUUCAUUAUGAAUUUUUGGUUUGGGAUAUUACAGUAGUAGUGCCAGAAUGCCAAGAUAUUCUUUCUUUCUACCUGCUUGUUCAAAGAUAUUGCUGACAUAGAAACAGACCCCAUUGAUUCCCCCCCAAUUGUUGAAAGACCAUCAACCCAACUGCAAUCUGAUCAAACAAAGAUUAAUAGCAAAGAAAGGUCUAACCAGAAAGGCAAAGAAAGAAAAAUGCAAAAACUGACAGUAUAAACGGUGUAGAAAGAAGCUCUUACCGUGACUGAGGGCAAGUAUCUCCUUUGAAACAAAUCCAGCAAUUUGGCUUUAGGGAGCCGAUCAAGAGUUAGGAUAUAAUCCUUCAAGGUAUUUACUUGUUAUUCCAUAACAUAUAUGAUCAUCCUGAUGCUCCAAGAGAUUGUCAAUGUAGGCUAGCAGAUGGAGUUGAGGAGUUGAAAAUAAGAACCUGUAUUUCUGCUGCUUCACGAGAUACAUCUUUGCCAUGAAGUUUCUGCAGUGCCAUUUCAAACUGUUAGUAUGAAAUUUGUAUUAUCAUUUCCUAGACUCUAGCAUAAGUUGAAAAUUAGUGUGUGAAGAAUUGUUACUGGACAUUUUGGCACAACUCAUUCAACCCGAUACAUCCGAUGCAUGACUUGACCGAUAUGAGAAACUUGAUUUCAGGUAAAUCAUGACAUAAUCAUGCAUUCAUUAUAGGAUUUCUAGUUUAAGUUUUUUUCAGUCAAGUAUUUUUAUGUUAAUUUUAUUUUUAAUAGGAUUAGACUUUAUCUCUUAAGAUUACUUUUCUAGUUGGACUCUAUUUUGAUUUAAGUUAAAAUAUUAUCUUUUCUUAUUAUGACUUGCACGUUGAAAUCUUCUCUUACUUGAUUGGUCUAAUUCAUUUGUUUUAAUAGAUAUUGUUUUUCUAUUAAAAAUUGGUUGGUUGGCAUUUUUCAAUAAGAAUCCAUAUUGAAUUAAUAUUCAUGUUUGAAAACCAAUUGUGGUCUUCAUAAGAGUCCAAAUUAAGCUAAAAGUUCAAAGUUAUAAUUGAAGUGGGUUUGGUACUCGUGUGCUGCCAUCUGACUAGGUAUAAGAAGCUUUGAAUAAAAGUAGCUUGCAUCUCUUUGGUUUUGCACAGCUUUACCAUAUUUUGUUUGAGCAUCUAAAAUUCUUAAGAAAGUUACUGUGCAUAUUUUUGAGAUAAAUCAUCAAGUGUUCCAUGUUUUACUUGGUAAUUUAUCAAACACUUUAAUCAUUCAUAUUGCAUUUAUUUGCAUUGUUCGGUGACUCAUACGGUUGAGAGCACCAAGACCGUGGUGGCAGUUUUCCUCCGGCAAGCUUGAAGCAAUCGUGGCCAGUAUUGCGUUCAAUAUAAGGAGUGUCGAAGAUCAUCCCGUGACAGAAGUCGAGUUACGAAGAAGUCGGUAAACAUUAUCUAGAAUGUGUCUAGGAUAAGUGUAUGAGUACUUAUUGUAAUCAUCGUUCUAUAGUGGAUUUGUGUUGGACUGAGGAGUUCUGUGGAUUUUUCUCAGAGGUGUGGUUUUACCACGUAAAAUAAUUCUCUGCGUGUUCUUUUAUUUUAAGCUUUGCACAUCUCAGGAUUGAUAACUCAUAUCAAUCCUGCUUCAAAGGUUGAUAAUUAUUUAUUGCAAAAAAUUCGAAUUAACUUGUUUAACCUUCUCCAGGCAUAUAUAGAUAUCCUACAGAUAUUUUCAUAAAUUCUCUAUGGCAUCCUGUUUUCGCCUGAAUUGAUGAGGAAGUCAUCAACUUGUUGAAUGUUGCCAUUAUAUAACUACAAAAAGAAAAAGAAAAGUAGUUCUUACCAACCAUCUUGGAGACUCGGGAAUGAAAAAGAGACCGAAAAUGGUCACUGCACAGGGAACUAGUCCUGCAAUCACCGCACAAUGAGCACUCUACUACUAUAUUAGAUAAGUAUUCUAGAGCACACUCUGUCUAAGUAAAUCACCAAUUAAUGCUAAAGCCCUCCAGCUCACUAGUACCCCAAUUAUGAAGGAAAUGGACACUCCAGAAAUGAUGAUUAACUAUAAAAUAAGCAGAAGACAAAGUUAGAUAUGAUCCAAUCCAAACCCAUAUAGUUUGUUGUUGAACUAACCCACAUCAAUUUCUUGCUUAAAAUAUCAAAGCUAACUCAUAAAAGAAUGGACAUUUUGGAAGGCAGCAAAUCGACUCUGAUUUCGUCCAUUGUGUCCAUUAUUUCUUCUUCUCGAAAGAAAAAAUAAAGGAUUAAAACUUAAUGGACAUGUAUUCAUGGCUUUGGCUAAGCUUUUAUUUUUCUGGGUUGGAUUUGUAAGACGAGAUAACCCUAGGUAGGGGAUAAAGAUUGAGUUUUUUUUUUUUUGUUGGGAAAUUGACACAGAGAUGGGUUUCGCGAGAGAGGGAGAAACAGAGUGGUGGUGGCCACGGUGGAGAGAUAAAACGCUGAGAGAGGAAGAGAGAACACAAAGAGCGAAGUCAGAAGUGUUCGGUCAGCAGUCAAUGGCCAAUAACUUCACAAUAGAUAUGCUUUUAUAUGGAGGGCAAUUAGGUAAUUUCAAGUGUCCAAGUGAUUAUAUCAAAAUAAGAUUUGUAAAGUGAUCAUUUGAAAAGUGAUUAUAUCAGCAUAUUUCUCAGAACUUUUCUUUGUUUGCCGUUGUUGCUGAGAAAUUCAUUUUUUCAAACACACACAUACAUAAAUAUAUUUAUUCUUAUUUAUAUAUAUGAUAAAGUAAUACAUUCACAAGACACUCAACAGCCCAAGGAAAAAGAGAAAACUACUCAAGACACCAAGCGCAGCUGUGCACUACACUUCAUUUGAAUUGAAGACUAAAGAGUCAGCUCAUUCCAUGCUAACGUUGAGAAGAUAUGGAUGAAUAUAGUAUAUUUCAUUUCUAUAUAAUUAUUCUAGAGACUUCUUGUACAGGACAAAUAUACACACAUUAUAAAUGUACACAAUAUGUAAAGAGAAAAAGAUUGAGACAAUGAAUAUAAGAAAAGAAUUCAUAUUCAAAAUUCUAGCUGAGCAAUCUUUUUCCUUUUUCUGAAAACUUCAGUCCUUUCUUGUCUCCAUAAAUGAAUAUAUCUCUUCUAGUGUAAUUUCUUAGAAUAUAUAGGUGUGGAUCCCAGCAACUUUCUUUUAAAGCCAUUUGGAUGGUUUUCCUUCCUUUUUACGAUUUUAGCACCCCAGACUUGCAAAGAUCCUCUUGUUAUAUUUCAGAACUUCCUUCUAAGGUUUCUCCUAGCGGCCGUUGGCAUUAAUUCAACUCUUGGUGGAUUGGGUCAAUUUUUACCAACCUAAAACUCUACGUAAAUGUCAGGAAAUAAUAAAGAGCACUACCUUGGGAAGACAAUCUGACAUAUUAAUAUAAUGUUAACCAGUAUGAAGAUCAGAUUGUCUUGGCCAGACAUGCUGUUCAUAUAUCGCGUUUUUUAAGCUAAGUUCUUUUCUGGCAAACAUGCAAACUGUUAUGCCUACAUAGUUUCACCAUAAUGAGUUACUUGGACCAGCAUGUCGAGGCCUUGGUGCUGUUAACUUCGAGGGGUCUCCCAAUUUUCCCUGAUGUGUUUGUAAAAACGUUUGUGGGUUUGGCAUCCGAUAAACAUUCCUAUUAUGAUGCUCAUUUGUUACAAAGUUAUGGUACCUUAGCUGUCGCACCACAGCAGCCACCCCGUGUGAUUGGAACCAUAGCACCGGCCUCUGCCGUCGUCGUACCAUCUCAAGGCCCCAUGGCCGGAUCUAGCCACGUUUAUAGCACUGCCGCAGAGCAUGGUAGAACCUUCCAUCAAGGUGGGCUCACUACCACUGCUGACUUUGGCCCAAUCUUGGAGCAGCUUCAAGCAUUCCUUCCAUUGCCUCCGCGCUCGACGCACGCUCCCGCGUACACAUGCAAUGAAACCCUAGCCCGUGUGCAAUUGGGCUCCACACAUUUCUCUCCUCCCGAUCCGCGAAGUCAAGUAGACUUUAAUUUGAGAGUUGACCAGCUAACUCAGAGAAUGAACGACCAAAAUAAUUUGAUGAGGCAGCUCCUCAACCAAAUAAACUUGGCUCAAAAUCUUGGCCUUGGACAACAGGGCGAAGAGAGAAGGAUGGACAAACGUGCCGAUAGGCAGUUCAAUGGGAACCAAGCAGGUCGAGUAGGAGUAAGCAGACAAGGAGAUGCACAACAACGUGAUCAGCUUGCCGACAUGUCGCAAGCAUCAGCAGGCCACACUCAGAGCAGACGAAGUCUCCCAUCCAGAUUGAAUUUAAGGACCAACAUGCGCGAUAGGCUGGGCCCAAGAUCUGACAUCCACGCUCGCUUAGGUCCACAGGGAAAUGUUCAUGAAAGGCUAGGCUCCUAGGGACGUCAAACUAACAACCAUUGCAAUGAGGAUUGUGAAGAAAGGCACUCCGUUGCUCGCUCGCAGAGAAAUAUUCACGAAAGGCUAGGCCCCAAGGGAGGUCAACUUGAUAACCCUCACAAUGAGGACCGUGAAGAAAGGCGCUCUGUUGCUCGCUCUCGAAAAACUAAUUCUCGUCGCCAAGUUACAGAAAAUCUCUCGCAAGCACAGUCCACCAACACGCCGCCUAGGCAGCGUAACCGAGAAAGUCGACCCUUGCAAACCAAUGAGGAAGUUAAUCAGUCUCGCCCAAAUCGUAAAGGUCGUCAAUGUGGCUGACCAGCCAUGUGUGCGGAAGACAUUAAGAAGCUUGUGAAUAACCGACUUCGAGACUUAAAGACUGGAGGAAAUUUCGAAGAUGCACUACGCAUGGAGGUAGAUCGAGCAAACUCCUCACCUUUCACCGUCGAAAUAGAGCAGACUGCUCCCCCGAAACGAUUCUCAACGCCCUCUUUCAAAUGCUUCAAAGGCGAUUUCUAUCCCGAAAACCAUCUGAAGCAUUUCAAGAGCCUUAUGAUCCUCUACAAAGCUGAAGACGCUUUAAUGUACAAGGUGUUUGCAAUGACUUUGCGAGAAGCAGCUCAGGGCUAGUUUCAUACGUUGCCAUCCGAGUCGAUUAGUAGCUUCAAGGAGCUUGCUUAUGUCUUCACCAAAGAGUACACUUCUUAUUGGACGAUCAAGAAGAACCCUGACCACUUGUACAACCUGCACAAGAAGCCCGAUGAAUCCCUUCGAGAUUACAUCAAGAGAUUCAAAGUAGAAAAGGCCAACAUCGUAGGGUGCGAUGAUCGAAUCGCAUCUUCUGCAUUCAAGAAAGGUCUUCUAGCAGAACACGACUUAUACCGCGAGCUGACUAUCACUCCUAGCCAGACUCUGGUAGAGGUCUUCACGACCACGAAACGCUACGUGCUUUGGGAUGACGAUCAAAUCACCACGAAGAAGUCCACUGAGCAGGAAGAUUGACUGACCAAGCGGGCAAACCAAAGAAACGACAGGCUUGGCAACAAGGACAAGGAAAAACGAAAGUCUCGCCCACAAGGAGACUCUACGACAAAAGAGAACUACACCAAGUUCUCCAUCCAUAUACAUCAAAUUUUAGCCCAAGUGAAGGACAAACCUUAGGUAAAAAGACCGCCACUCUUGAAAGGAGAUCCGGACAAGAGGGAUACCAUAAAAUAUUGUGCCUUCUAUGCGACACACGGGCACAAUAAGAACAAUUGCUUUGCUUGGAAAGCACACCUCGAAGAACUCAUGAGAGAAGGUCACUACACAGAGUUCAUCACGAAGCAGAUCAUACAGUAGAUAGAGGACCGCGAUACUGUCAAGGAGUCACCCCAGAAGGUCAUAAGGAUUAACACAAUCCUAGCUGACUCCGAGGAAUUUGGGCUGACCAACAAAGAAAGGAAGAGGAAGAUCAAACAGGCCACCGUGAUCUUCCAGGUCUCCACUAGUCUUCCACUAGCAGAAUAUGAUCCCGUGACCGGCUUCCAAAAAAAAGAUCUAAUCGGUCUUGCUCUACCACACAACGACGCCCUUGUCAUCAGCAUUCAAAUUGCUCAGGCCAUGGUUGACCGAAUCCAUGCAGACGAGGGCAGUGCAGCCGAUAUCCUAUAAUUGGUGGUUAUCCAACCGAUGGGCUUAGAGACAAAGAUCAAUAAAUCAGCCAAGUCGCUGACUGGCUUCAAUAGCGCAACAACGAUUACCGUGGGCCCGAUAGAUCUCGACGUCUACUCCCCACCUGUAAUCAUUUCACGGUCAUUAAUGAAGUCUCACCCUACAAUGGCAUUCUGGGUAAACCAUGGAUCGACAAGAUCAACGCCAUCACCUCUGCCACACAUCAGAAGAUCUGCUACCCAAUCUUUGGGGUGGUAUCUGCCAGAUCAACAGUGAUCAGGCAAUGGUGAGGAAAUGCUCAGCUCAAGGGCUAAAGAGAAGCAAGCAAACAUAGUUCCUCCCUGUGAAUUAGGUAUAUCUAAAGGGAGUAGAACAAUCAGAGAAUAAAGCAAAUUCCGUUCAUGACGGCUGAGCAGACCAGAAUGGAAAGGUAAUAACUACUCCCCAAUAGCAAUCAAAGAAUCAGGACCAAGUCAAGGGAAUCUGUCCGGAGUUCUCUCCUAAAGAAGGAUGGAAGCCCGAAGAGGACGUUGAGCUAGUACCCCUUGAUCCUAACAAGCAAGAGAGAAAAGUGCAGAUCAGCUCGGGCCUAAGCCAGGGGGAAAAGACAUAGCUUCCAGCCUUCCUCCAGAACAACAAAGACGUAUUUGCAUGGUCGCCAUUCGACAUGCCUGGCAUUGAUCCCCAGAUCAUCUGCCAUCACCUACACGUCAACCCAGUUAUCAAGCCUAUAGCGCAGAAGAGACGCCACUUCGCCCCCGAGAUGGUUGCCAUCAUUGAAGACGAGAUCAACAAGCUUCUAGUUGCCUGUUUCAUUGAAGAAAUCUCCUACGCAGAAUGGCUGGCGAACGUUGUUCUAGUAGCAAAGAAAGAUAAAGGUCUGUGGAGAGUGUGCAUCGACUACACCGACCUCAACAAGGCAUGCCUUGAAGACAACUUUUCAUUGCCUAGAAUUGAUCAGCUCAUUGAUUCAACUUUCUGCAAUCAACUGCUAAGCUUCAUGGACGCCUACUCCGGCUACAACCAAAUCAUAAUGCAUGAAGACGACAAGUCAGAGACCUCCUUCAUCAUCGAAAGAGGUACAUACUGCUACAAAGUCAUGCCCUUUGGGCCGAAGAACACCGUCGCAACCUACCAAAGGUUGGUGAACAAAAUUUUCAAGGAGCAAAUCGGCAAGACUAUAGAGGUCUACGUAGACGACAUGCUAGUCAAAGCUCCCAAGCGAGCAGACCACAUCGAGAACCUUGCCAAGGUGUUCAGCCUACUCCGAAAAUACAACAUGAAGUUGAAUCCGAGCAAAUGCACAGUUGGAGUCUCGUCCGGCCGAUUCCUUGGAUACUUAGUUACCCAAAGAGGAAUUGAGGCACAUCCAAAUCAAAUCAAGGCAAUACUCAACAUGAAGUCACCUGCCAUAACAAAGGAGAUACAAAGUCUAAUGGGUAGGGCGACAGCUCUCAAUCGAUUCCUCUCAAGAUUUACUGAUAAGUGCAGGUCAUUCUUCAAAGCCUUGAAGAAGGGACACAGAGACAAGUAGGAUGACGAGUGUGAAGUAGCUUUUCAAAACUUGAAAACCCACCUCAUUUCACCUCCCUUACUCUCAAAAUCGAUACCAGGCGUAGACUUGUACAUCUACCUGGAGUACAACUACUGCAAAUUCCAAAAUGUGCCACAACAAAAGAAGGUUGCCCAUAAGGAGCGUCCUUCGGGAGACGCAGGGAGACGAACAGAAGCGUCUUUUGGGAGAUGUAAUCCGCAAAGAAGCAUCCGAAGGGAGACGCAGGGUGUGUCGAAAAAUUCCUAAGGGAGGUAUCUAGGUUCCUAUUCAUUUUCUAUGGGAGACAGGAUAGUCAUAUAGUUGCCCUUAAAAAGCAUUCUAAGGGAUAAGCAGGGACACGACCAGAAGUGUCCUUCGAGAGACGCAGCCGCAAAGCAGCGUCCUAAGGGAGACUCAGGUUGAGCCAGGAAUUUCUUAAAAUGAGGUCUCCAUGCUUCCUGCGGGAAGUAUCCAUGUUCCUAUUUGUUUCCUAAGAGGAGGCAGGAUAAUCAAACAGUUGCCCAUAAAAAACGUUAUAAGAGAGACGCAGGGUGACGACCAGAAGCGUCCUUCAGGAGACGCAACCUGCAAAGCAGCAUCCUAAGGGAGCCACAGGGUGAGCCAGAAAUUUCCUAAUGGAGGUAUCCAGGUUUCUAUUCGUUUCCUAAGGGGGGCAAGAUAGUCAUACAGUUGUCCAUAAGCAGCGUCCUAAGGGAGAUGCAAGGUAAUGACCAAAAGCGUCCUUCGGAAGACACAACCAGCAAAGAAGUUCUUUAAAAGAGACACAGAGUGCGCCAGGAAUUUUCAAAUGGAGGUAUCCAGGUUCCUAUCCAUUUCUUAAAGGGGGCAGGAUAGUCAUACAGUUGUCCAUAAGCAGCUUUCUAAGGGAGACGCAGGGCAAUGACCAGAAGGGUCCUAAGGAGAAAUGUACAUCCAAGAGACUAGUCGGUUACUCAAGCAGUUCACAAGACAAUAUGCAAAUUGAAGUUGAAAAAAUAAUACCUGAAAUUUCCAUAGUAAAGUGACCAACCGGCCAAAUUUAACAAAAAGAAGAUGGUCAAGCAAGACCAAUUAUUCUAAACAAAGAGCAUACUACAAAAGCUGAAAAGAAAUAAAGGAGUCUUCAUCUACUUUGAGAUGCCAGUAGGAUAUCCCUGAUAUGCGGACUCUUCAGCAUUCACCUGAUCAGCCACACUCUCAGCAGCUCUACCUGCCUGAUCCGCCAUGUCUGCUACCAUCUCUUUUUUGAUAGAGAUGAAAUGUUGCUUCCCUUUGUUUUUCCAAGGAAAGACUUGAGAAAGUACCAAGAACGCCAGCCUAACGGAUUUGAUCAACCAGCUCAGCACAAGUGGAUGGACUUGACAGAAAGUUUAUCUUGAGCAGAUUAGACACGCCUGUAUCCCCUACAGGGGUGGACUUGUCCACCUUGGGAUCAGCCGCUGACGUUGCAGAAGAGCCCUUAGCCCAGGCAAAUGACUUUCUUGCUUUCCUAGCCUCUGCCAACCUCACUUCCAAAGGAAUUGGCGACGACGAAUCCACUCCACGCUUGACUGCUCGUGACUUAACAGCUGAAACAUGAUGGUUGGAUGGAUGAGCAGACCCCCCAGAUCGAUUUCCAUUUUUCUACUGAUGCAAACUACCCAAACUUUGGAGAUGAGCAACUGCACCUCUUUGCUUCUCAACAGGUGAGCUAGACCGUGCACGGACUACUUCGCGAAGCAGAUCAUGAUCUCCAAACUCAUCAAGGGGAACAUCCCUAAUGUUGCGCAUACCUUCAAUCUUCUUGCUAUCUGCACCAACAAGAUGUUUGGCCCUCGCAGAUGACGCGGGAAUAGCUCCUACUUGGGUCUUCUCAGCAGAAGGGAGCUUUGGUUUCUUACUCAAUGGAGACACAUUCCUCGCCCGUGAAGAAGUAGCUUGAGUUCUCGAAGACUUGACAUCAGCCUUCCUCUUUGAGGGGAGUUCAACAGAGCACUCCUCUUGUGCAGCAGGCAGAUCAUUAGGGUUUGAACCAUCCUGCUUCCAUCUCUCGACAUCCUUAGCAGUGGGCAGUCCACCAACUUCCUCUUAAUCAUCGCUCAACAGCCACCAGUGGCCACCACCGCUCCAAUCGUCUUUGGCCGCCAAUCACGAUGACAACCAGCCUGGUCCCACCAAGUUGGUCCUCACCGCGAAAAAGAGAAGACGAAGAAAAAAUUUACGUGCUCUACUUACUUUGGGAUGCACGGCAACUCCUUUCUUCAACAAGCAGUAAAAAAUUCUCCAAGAUCUUUCUUAAGCUAGAAAGUAGAGAAGUUAAAUUUGCAGUGUGAGAAAGAGUGAAGAGAAGCCCUGUAUUUAUACAAGUUGGACAACCCGAGUCAAGAAGGAAUCGCAAGCUCAUUCCUACUGGGAAUCCAGCUCCAACAACAGUCAGAAGCCUACACCAAUUGGGAAUUCGAUUUGCAAAAGGAGUCCAACUCACAGAAUAAAGCCCAGACACAGUCGGAGAGCCCGAAAAAAAUAAUUUCACCUCCUACAUGCCACACAAACGCCAUGCAGAAGCUGGGGGGCAUUUGUGGGAGCAAAUAUUUCUGUCUCCAAUCACGGCACUGUUUGGGCCUAAAUUUAGCACGCCAAAGUUCAAAAGACAGGCCCAUGGUAAAAUUACCUGCCCAGCCCAAAAACUUGAGGAUAACAAAAUUAGGAUCCCGACAGGUUGGGCUUCACGCCAGGAUGUCGAAAACAAAGCCCCUAGCCCAAGAAAGAUCAACGUGGAAACUGUCAUUUGGGCUUCAAGGAUCAGCCCAUAAUUUUUGUUGGGUUCAAACCCAAGGGAUUAAAAACACACCCACGUGACUACCUCAGCUUUGAAAAGUCAGCAAUUCCAACUAAGUUAAAAAUAUGAGAGGGACAUCUCUGAAGCACUGCCAACAGAAGAUCAAAACCCAUCUGUGUUCGGAGAUUUUGCUCCAAAGCAAUACACCAUCUUCCAAGGAAUUCACGGGUCACGCUUUCUAAGUUAGAACGCGAAACAGGGAGUUGUUCAGAAAAUACAAAAGAAAACCAACCGCCAUAAAAUUUAGCCCACACAGACGGUGGCGUUGGUUGAAAUAGAAAGCUGCCACCCAGGAAACCAGGGAAGGGACUGCUUUAAGGGGUGACUACUGAGAGCCUAUCUGCCAUGAUUGAUAAAAAUCCCUUUUACUUUACAUUAUAGGAGAUCUUUUUACCGCCCAUUCUUAAAAUUAAAAAAAACAACCUCCCCAAGAGGGUCUCUUACAAAAGCAGAAAUAGGCAAGGAAGGAAAGGACACUCAAUUCAUCAAUCAAUCAAAAAAAAACAACAAGAAGAAAACAACCAAAAGCUCACUUGGAUUCCAAGAGAAACCAGCUUUAGAUCAGAAUUCCAAAGUUCAGACUUAGAAAAUAAGUCUUCUAAAACGAGAUCUCUCUCGUUACAAAUUUAGUUCAGCAAAAGCCAAGGCAAGCAGAGUUUGAGUUUUCACAAACGUGGAGACCUCAGCGAACUUAUGAAGAGUCCUGCUCAAGCAAAACAACGCUCGUAGUGCAAUCCCUAGCCCACCAAACCCUCGAGAACAGCCACUUCUGCCUCUUCAAACUGAAGAAGUUGCAGUUCUGCCCACUCAAAGGCCUCACGAAUCGUGAAGUAAACAUAAAGCUCUACCAAAAUCGAACUUUGGUAUCGAUUUAUAGCUCAGCCUAGCAUCUGAAGUCACAAAGCAGUACGGACCGGCCCAGGCGCGUCCAGUCCAGCCCAAACCAGAGCCUUCCAUCCAAGCAGAAACGGAGUUCCGGCCAUCUUUUAACCUUCCUAGCGUCGAUAUGCAUAUUUAUUGUUUUGUAAAAGGCAGUUCUGCCUAAAACAGCCCAACUUCUAUCGAAUAUUUCUGGCCAGUACAGCCAUUUGAUACUGAGAUAAAUUAUGAAAGUCCUCACCAGUCUGAGGCAAGAAAAGAACUUACUUGGGAGAUAUUCCUCACCCAAAUUCACAAUCAUUUAUUUUAGAAGUCAGUAACUUAGGGUGCAAGUUAUCCACUCUAAAAAGAAGUCUGCUAGGAUUUACAUUGCUAGCAGUGGCACGCUCACACACCAAAGAAAGCUGACUUGUCGACCAACAAAUGGUCUCCAAGCCAGUGGGGAACUUCGCCCUUCCAUCUCAGGAGUAAACACGAAAACGGGUGAACAAUUUGGCACGCCCAGUGGGACCUCUCAGUAUACAUACUCUGACAGAAUCAUUCACAAAUUUAUAAAUACCGGAAGCUCUAGCCAGAACCCGCACCAGAUAUGGAGAUAAACCAGAUGGCUCUCAGGGAAAGCCUCGAGUCAGAAGAAAGUGAUGCUAGGCAAUCAGCCCACGGCAGUAUAGGAAGUAGACGUUCCAGGACUGGCUCCAGAAGGAUGAAUCAAAUACAGGAGUCAGUACUCCGACAAGAAAUCACAGUACAAAUUAGCCAAGACACUCUCAAUAACAUGACAUCCAUGAUGCAAUGGCAGGUUAACAGACAGUUCCGGAAGGACCGAGAAUCCGCCAUGGCCAGAAUCCCAAACCCGGAUGCUGUAGUCCAGCAGUUAGAUCUCCCUUAUGGCCCUCCGCCAGGACUAGCAUGGAUAUACCAGGAAAACCCCCUAGUUGCACAGAUGGCUGGAAUACCAGACCACAGAGAAAUCCAGGCUGGUCCGAGGGAAAGAGCCCUUCCUAAUCAAGAACACGAAGCCCCAGCCCGACCAGAUGACCUUGCACUAGCUCAGCAGAACCAGCCAGAACCUCAGCCUAUUCCACCUCAUGUGGCCCCGCAUGAUCAACCUUUGACACUUCUGCCUGAACCACCAGCAGUAUUGCCAUAUAGACCCAGAAGGAUGGACCCUAAUCCAUUCCCUCCACCCGCAAGAGGGAGAAGAGGCAGAGGGGGAAAUAACCUUUUUGCUAAUCAUGACAGGAAUAGGCCGGGGGCAAACUGGAGGAAUCACCCAGACAUCGAAGAGCAAAAAGGGCGCAGGGAGGAAGCUCCACCCAGACCAUACAGAGCGGAGCCUAGGAUCGAUUACGUCCAGCCAGAACAGGGACAAAAUCUUCCCCCCAUCAAUGCUUUGAAUGACAUAGGAGCAUUGCAAAGAAUGAUCAGAGAAAUCAUGGAGCCCGAGGCUAGGAGAGGGGAAAGGCCUACUUACCGAAAGCCAUACCCAGCCUAUAUCGAUCAAAUACCGCUGUCUCCAGGUUUCAAAGUACCAAACUUCACCUUGUUCAACGGGGAGGACCCCCAUGCUUCCUCAGUUGAACAUAUAGGCAAGUUCUCCGUCCAAUGCAUAGCCAUUGAGAACAACCCUCUGUUGAAAUUAAGGCUUUUCGGCAAUUCUCUCUCUGGACAGGCUUUCACCUGGUACACCAGCCUGCCAGCUAAUUCUGUUCAAACUUGGGAGCAGAUGGAAAAUGUCUUCCAUGACUACUAUUACAGGAUUCAGCCAGAAGUCACCAUCAGUGAUCUAGCUACCCUCAAGCGAAGCGAAGAUGAACCGGCUCAAGAUUUCAUAACCAGGUUCAGAAAGCUCAAAAUGAAGUGCCGAAUCACUAUGGAAGAAAGACACUUCAUCCAGAUGGCCCAAUGUCUGACCCCCAAUGGUUCUUCCAGAACAAUCCCGGCUCCUGAAGCCUUAUCUGUCUUUGAUCCAUCAAAAUAUAGUUUCCAAGGUGUGAGAUGAAUCGAAUAGAUUGGAUUGUUAAGGCAAACAUGAGCUCUAGUUAGCAGAUCCGCAUUUACUAUGUCCAAAGAGUCCAUGUUUUCAAUUUCCUCUCCUGGGUGAUCUGCUAGGAAGUCUGCCACAACUUGCCCUUUGACAGCUUUCUGGGGGACAUACCUGAAAGUGAAUUCUGUCAAAGCCAAAGUCCAUUUUCCAAUUCUGCCCCUCAGCUUUGGUCUUGUUAGCAUGUAUUUGAUUAAGUCUGUCUUGGCAAUGAUGUAGAUAGUGUGUGGCAGCAUGUAGUGUCUGAGUUUUACAGCAGUGAAAUACAAGGCCAGGCAAAGCCUUUCUAUUGCGGAAUACCUUCUUUCCACUUAUGUUAAUGUUCUGCUUAGAUAGUAGACUGCUUGUUCCUUUCCUUCUUUGUUAUCUUGAACUAGCAGACUUCCAAUGGAUACUUCUGAUGCAGAUACAUAGAGCUUGAGUGGUCUGCCUCUUUUUGGUGGGGACAGAACUGGUGGAUUUGAGAGGUAAUGCUUCAUUUCCUGGAAAGCCUGUUGGUGCUGUUCUUCCCACUUGAAUGUUUGUUCCUGCUUCAGCCUUAAUAGGGAAGAAAAAGGUUGGAUUUUUCCUGCAGAAUUGGAUAUGAAUCUCCUUAGAAAAUUGAUUUUUUCUAGGAGACUCUGAAGUUCAUUCUUGUUCCGAGGUGGUAGGGCUUCUAUGAUGGAUUUUGCUUUAUUUCUGUCAACCUCUAUGCCUCUCUGGUGAACUAAGAAUCCUAAGAAAUUUCCUGCUUGGACUCCAAAAAUACACUUUUUGGGGUUCAUUUUUAGUUUGUGCUGCCUCAUUCUUAGGAAUGCCUUUCUCAGACUUGCUACGUGGUUUCCUUCCUCGGGGGAUUUAAUCACCACGUCAUCUAUGUAUACUUCCAAGGAAUGUCCUAUCAUAUCAUGAAAAAUGGAAUUCAUUGCCCUUCGGUAGGUGGCCCCCGCAUUUCUCAAACCGAAAGGCAUUACAGUAUAUUCGAAAACACCUAUAUGUCCUGGGCACAUGAAGGCUGUCUUGUGGAUGUCUUGUUCUGCCAUCAUAAUCUGGUUAUAACCUGCAUUGCCGUCCAUGAAAGAUAGCGUCUGGUUAUGAGCAGCUCCAUCUACUAGCAUGUCUGCCAUUGGCAUAGGAUAUUCAUCCUUGGGAGAUGCUUCAUUCAGAUUUCUGUAAUCCACACAGAUUUUAACUGCCCCUGUUUUUCUUUUGAGAACAGGUACAAUAUUUGCUAACCAAUCGGCAUAGAUGGCUGGCUUGAUGAAUCCUGCCUUGAGCAGCCUUUCUGGUUCCAUUGCCAUGAAUACGGGGAAGAACUGAUGGAAUUUGGUGAAGAAUUGGACACAGAAACAGAAGCUUUUGGCGCAGAGUUGGAAGACCUGCUACAGGGUGAUCUGGGAAUUAACAUGGUAUUCAUCCUACCAGAGAAAUUCAGGGCCGCCGAGGGACAAGAAAGCACUUUGGAAUGAGAUGUUUUCUCUCAGGAAAGCUUUGAAUGUAGAUUGACAGAAGCAAAGGAGCCACCAGAACGGCAAGCAGACAACCCCAGGACAGGCGGAACAGCCAAUAACCCAGCUACAGAGCAACUUUGUUUCUCCAAACCGACCAGAGAAAUGGCAAAUCACCUCAAGCCUUUGUUUAUAACGGCAAAUCUUGGAGGUAUUCCUAUUUCCAAGAUCAUGGUAGAUGGAGGUGCGGCCAUUAAUCUAUUGCCCCACAGAAUGCUGACCAAGAUGGGCAGAACAGAGAAGGAUUUGAUUCCAACACGUUUGACCGUCACCAACUUCGCUGGGGGCAUCACAAAAAUUCAUGGCAUCUUAGACGUGGAUGUCAUAGUCGGAAGCAAAGAGUUGAAAAUAGCAUUCGAACGCUUGGGCACUUCUGCCGAUAUCAGAGGAAGGGUCAGGACUUGGUCUUCAGGCAGAACUAUGUCUGGGAAUCUUAGCUCUGGAAAAUAGACUUGCAGCCAGAUCUGGUCAAGUUCGACUUGAUCCCUAUGAAUUUGGCUAGAGAAUAAACUCGUUAUAUUCUCUACAAACCCUAGCCCCGAGGCUUCUAUAAAUAGACGACUUCAUUCAUCAUUCAAGGUACAUCUAAACUUAUUCCUAAUACCCGAGAAAAAUACCUGAAGCUCUCUCUUCCUCUCCACUCUCCACUCUCCAUAUUUUCUCCACACGGCUCUGGCCACCACACAUGGCUCCGGCCACCCAGUUCACACCAUACAUACAACUCCGUACCUGAUAAGGUCAUAAUUUCACACAUUUGCAUGCCUUCUUUGCUUAGUAAUUUUGUUUAGUUUCUCUUUAUUUUGAGUCUCUUACCUAUGUUUGUGUGUUUUGUAGGUUAGGACAGCAAGGGGAUCACAUUUGAUACAAUUCAUGCAUGUUAAGGGUUGAUUGGCACAAGAGGAAUAUGAGCUUAAUGACAGAACCAAUUUGGGCCACACUCCUUGUCAGUCCAAAUUCGUGGGUCAUCUUGCAGGCCUCAUUUCAGCAACCUACACUGCUUGGAUGAGGAGACAUGCUUCACAGAAGUUGUUCCAAUGGGUGUCUAGUAUAACAUAUCCAAAUUUCAGCUCAAUUAAUGAUAACUAGAGUCCUUAGCCUGUCAAACACUGAACCAUGCUCUAGGAGGAUUUUAAUAUGUAGCUGCCAGCUGGUGAGCCUUGUGCUCCGCACCUCCCUUGAGCCAUGUGCCUCACUUCAGCAUUAUUUGACUUUAGACCUGACAUGUUGAGCAAAUUAGGGAGGCAUUUCAGCUAUGGAAGUCAAAAAGGAGCAAAACAUGGCAUGCUUAAUUAUGGGGAUCUUGUCUGCACAAAUCAAGGACCAUUUUCCAGGAAUUCUGGUAGGCCACACAUGGGAGACAAAUCAGUAUGGGAACCCAAAAAGAUGAAAAAAAGUCAAGCUUUCCAUAAAGAAACCAAGAAAAGUCCACCAAAGCAUUUAUUGGACAGCUGGAGCAGUUGACAUUGAUUGGACAGCUUAGGCAAUUGGGAGUAGCUAAGAGAGGUGUGUUUCACCAGCCAAAGGGGAGCACGAAAUUGCACUCUAUAAAUAGAGAGUUGCACACUCAUUCAAAAAAAGAGGGCAGACACACACAUUCACUUCAUCCAUUACUCUCAUACACACAUUCAGAUUCACCAUAAAGAGAGAAGGGAGCUAGUUGCAAAGAAGGGAGACCUUGGAGCUGUCCUGGGAACUUCCUUGCUACCAUCAUCUAGUUCUUCUCCUCUCUUUAUCCUAUCUAUGUAUUUCUUAUUUUCUGUAUUCAUAGUUAUGUCUAACUAAUCCAUUUAGUUAGGGCUUAGGAUGAAGCCCUAGUCAUGAAUAUUCAAUGUUAUGGAUGAUUUUAUAGUUAAUUGAUUUCCUUGCUUUUAUUAUCAAGUUGUUAAUCUCCAGUUUAUUAUGUGCUUGAUGUAUGUUUUCUUGGAGUAGCUAACUAGGAUUUUAUGCAUCUAGCACAGGUUGGGAAGGGGUUUAGAUUCACCAAUUCUACUCUCCUUUCACAAGCAACACAUGAAUGGCCUAAGAAUCAUUCAAGGGGUUAAUAACCAUAGGUUGACUAGGACAGAUACCAUGUUCUAGGACUUGUGUGAUUAUCAUAUUCUCAAGGAGCUUAAUGACUCUUGUAUGCUUUAUUCUAAGUAGAUACCAUGCUUAGGUUGCAUAUUAGAGAUCACGUGUUGUGUAGAUACCAUGCACAAUCACAUGCCUUAGGAGAAUGAUGCAUCCUGCACCUAGAUACCAUAGGCUUGUAUGCGAUAAUCUAUUGUUGAUGAAGCUUGAGUCAAUUUCUAUGCAUUCAUAACUUGGAUAGGAAGACUAGUGGCAGAUUCCAAGGCUCUAACACCUCUCCAUCAUUGUUUUACAACUUGUUCAUUGCUGCUAGUGUUUACUUUCGAGCACUUUCAUUUCACUUUCUUCUUUUCAUUUGAACAACAAAACCCCCCAUCUCGAGUGCGUGUGUGGUGCUAGGAUUCUGUCCUAGACCUUGAGUAAUUAGCAAGAGGCAUUGUUGAAUUCGACCAUGCCUUUAGCUAGUUAGUCAGUUUCUUUGUUCUAUGUUUUUCUAGCAUUAUAAGUAAUUUAACUUGGAACCAAGUUACCAUUCUCCGUGGGAUCGACCUCGUAUUUACAUAAGCUAUACUAUAAACGGUUCGUGCACUUGCGAGAAUUAAAGUUGCUGUUUUUAAUAACUCAUUUUAGUUGUUAAGAAUAGGCUCAACAGUACCCUUUGCUUAGCUAUUGUUUUCCUACAAACGCACGAACUAACUUAGGCAUCGUAGGGCCUUUGGCCAAUACCCCCUGAGUGUGGUCUAUUUACUCCGAUCUUUUUUAUAAGAAUCGAGGAAGAGAAAGAAGGAAGAUCGAAGAUUGAAGGAUCUAGAAGUGAAUAUUCUCUUGCGAGAUUAUUUGCACAAUCGAUUGUAAUGCCAAGUAUUGAAGUCCUUGAUAUAUUCAACAAAUGAGAUUGAAGCUUUUCAUUCACAGUCUAGUUUAGUUGUUCCAAUUUAUAUAUAUGUGCUUGUGUAGAUUGUUUGGCCAUAAUGAGGUUACUUCAAUGAGCAUAUUGACGCCUAAUGAGUGACACGUGACUAUAAAGUCAGCCGAAAAGAAAAACUUGGCACUAACUGUGGUUCGUAAUACUCUAAGAAGCGAAUGAAUAACACCAAAAGUACUGUACCAGUUGCUAAAAACAGAGAAAUCAUGAAAACAGUUUUCUCACUCUCAGUUUUCAGAUAAUGAAAACUGUUUCAUUUUAUCCAAACCAACUUUUUUACAGACCAAAAGAUUCUUUUCAAUUCAGAGGCCAUAAUGGUAAGUGAUAUCUUUACUUUUAGUAUUUAUAGGUCUACGCAACAUAAUUAUAAAAAUAUUUUAAAAAACCCUAACAAAUCUCUUCCUUUUUAUUAUUAUUUGUGUUUGCGCAGUGCCUUCUUUCUUCUCUGUCUCAAUAACAGUCUUCUUCUUCUUCCUUCCUCUCUUUCUCUCUUCUUCUUCUCUCUUUCUUCUCCCUCUCAGUCAUUGUCUUCUUCUUCUUCUUCCUCCCUCUCUCUCUCUCUUCUUCCUCCCUCUGUCUUCUCCCUCACAGCUUGCAUGUCUUCUUCUCCAUGGGGUUGUCUCCCAUGGCUGCCAAGGCCAAUAUGGGACCUCGAAGCCAUUUCCAGGGCUGCCAUUGGGCCGUCUGACACCAUUGACUCCAUGGUGGAUCUGCCACUGGUUGUAGUCAUAGAGUCUUCUGCAGCUAUUGUAGGAGAAAACAAGAAAGGUUUGGGUGCAAUUCGCAAGGAAUGAAGGGGUCCUUCCAACAUCUCUACAACUUUGCUCAUUGAUGGCCGAUCAGAAGGAAUGGUCUGAAUGCACCACAGACUUAUUAAUACCAUCUUUCUUGCUAUUUCUUUUUCCUCCUCUGUGAUUGCCCCAAAUGCAUUUUCAUCCUUUUCUAGCUCUAGAUCUUUAUAAACAUAAUGUGGAAACAUUUCACUCGUAUGAGACACUCCUGAAUCCAAAUUCUUUUUUGCUCCAACCAUUUCAAGAACCAACAUACCGUAGCUGUAAACAUCAGAUUUGUGAGAUACUCCACCAAAGUUUCGGCUAAACACUUCUGGUGCAAUAUAUCCUGCAGUUCCUCUUGUCCCCAUCAUCGAUACAAUACUGUCCUUUGUUUUGCAUAAUUUGGCAAGGCCAAAAUCAGAGAUUUUUGGGCGAAAAUCUUUGUCAAGAAGAAUGUUCUGUGGCUUUAUGUCAAAAUGCAAAAUUCUUGUGUUACAUCCACGGUGUAGGUAUUCUAGUCCUCGCGCAAUACCAACUGCAAUUUCAGAUAGUAUUUUCCAUUCUAAGCGAAAAUUUGCCAUUCCAGAUCCAUGCUUAUGUAUGAAAUUAUCCAGAGAUCCAUUAGGCAUGUAUUCAUAAAUCAAAGCUCGUUUGUCCCCCUCAUAACAGAAUCCAGAAAGGGUGACUAUGUUGACAUGGGAGGUUCUACCAAUGCUAGCAACUUCAUUAAUAAAAUCUUCUCCUCCAUUACCCUUGGACUCGCUUAGGACUUUGACCGCCACCAGAAGCCCAUCAGGUAGCCUGCCUUUGUACACAGUUCCAUAUCCACCUUUACCUAUUUUGUCUCUGA